rnacentral:lncRNA from 1 species
AUAUAUAUAAAGUUAGUUGAAUUUUGCAAUUUAUAAUUUAAACUUAAAACCUAUAAAUAAAUACUUAACGAUAUUUUUAAGAUAUGUUGAUGCGAUGUUAAAUCAAUUUCAAGACAGUAACUACUACUCAAUUACUUUAAUCAUGAGGUAACAGCCCCUCUUUCCUGCUCAAAAGAUUUCUUAUAAGUUUUGAUUAACCUAACAAAAUCCCAUUGGAAAAGGACAGAAAUUUGAUAUGCAAGGAAGCUUCAGCUGCAAAUGUAAUGUGAACCACUAAUUAGUCAGCCCCCAUAAUCACCACUUGGAGCAUGUGAACUCUCAUUAUUUUGUUGGAUCAAACUAAAUAAAUUACUAUAAAAAAUAAUAAAAUGGUUACUCAAUUAUAUAAUUUUAUCUUUUUAGUCAUCAAUUGGCUAACAAUGACAGCUUCUAAAAUUGGAAUAAUAGUAAUUUUAACCUUUGACAAUUAUACAUUUUGUCAAUUUAGUAUUAAUUCUAAUAAAUCUAACCCCUUAACAUUUACACAUUGUCUAAUGUGAUUUUUUUUGUAGUUUUGUUUUUCUUUGUGACCAUCUCACCUAAAAAGCUAAAGAAACAAAAUUAUUAACUAAAAUUGAUCGAAAAUAUACAAAAAAUAGAAACACCCAAAAAUCCAAGAUAAUAAAUUUUAUUUUUUCUUAUUCUUUUAAAAUUAACCCUCAGCUUCACAAAAAAAUUAAAACUAUAGAGAGAGAGACCAAUUUACACAAUGUGCAAAUGUUGAGGGAUAAUUUUUUUUAGAAUCAAGAUUAAAUUUAUAUAAUUUAUAAAUAUUGAGAGUUAAAAUUGAUAUAAUGCCAAUUUUAAAAAUUGCCACUGUUAGUCAGCUUGUGACAAAAUGACAAUUGAAUAACUAAGUGAUCAUUUUGUAACUUUUUAUAGUUUGGUGAUAAAAAAGAAAUUUACUAAUAGAUAGAUGAUACUAGUGUAGUUUGCCCUAAUUUUGUUUAAUACAAUGAGAUAAAUUUCAAAACUAUCUAAGGACUUUGGUUUAAUGUGCAGGUUUAUAUAUAAACUUUAAUUUUGUGUAAUUUUUGUACAUGAAAUAUUGAUUUAAUCAAAUUCUCACAAAUAUUAACAUAAUUAUUAAUAUAACAUUAAUUUAUAUUUAUAUAUUACAUACACAAAUAACUAUGUUUAUCUAAUAUAAAAAUAAAUUAAUAUAUUUAUUUUAAAAAAAUUAUAUGAUUAAAUUAAAAUUAAAAUUUAAUAUAUAUAGUAGAUUCAUAAUCAAAAUUUUAUAUAUAUAAUUACACCAAAUCAAAAUUUAUAUAUCAAAUUCAUAUAUUAUUUAAACUCAAUUGUCCAAUCCAAAGAAAAAGAAUUUUAUUACGUGUUGGGUUCGUCCGUCCGUCCGUCCUGCUCACUUGGACGUAUUUAAAGGUGAUUACCAUGUGCUAUACAAUGUGAAACAGCAUGACGCGUUGCUAUGCCAUUGAUAGCGCCAACAUUUCUUCUCAAUAAUUUUUUUUUCUUUGGCCAAAAGGAAUAUUCUUUUCUCAUGAUAAGUAAUUUUUAAAAAUGGCGUUAUCAGUUUUUUUACUUAAUUUUUGUUUGAAUAAGGUCUGUAAAAUGUAUGAACAUGAGCUCACUCUUCCAAGCGAAUAUUAAAAAAAUUAAAAUGUGUUUUUUCUGGCAUGAUUUUCGGAAUGUUGAUGUUGGCAGCAUUUCAAAGUUCCAUUGUCAAUAUGAUUAAGCGUUUUCGAUAAAUUUUUUUGAGUUAUUCAAAACUCCAAAGCUGGAAAAUAGCCCCGACCAAUGAAAGUGCUCCACAACCUGCAAACAGUGUGAUGAACAUAUGGACUUUUGAAUAAAGUCUAUCUCGAGGGAUGCUUUGUACUUUGAUUUAUGGGCAACUGUGGGGCAUCAAUUCCUUUGACAAAUGGUUGGUUUUAUGAAAAUAAUAGCCAAUUGGGAUUUAACAUUUUGUCCUUCCAAGUGUCGUUUCCAUCUUAAAUUAGCUUUUGAUUCCCUUGAAUUUUAUUUGGAAAUCCCAUACUGAAAACCAGGUGCCAGCAUUGGGCCAAGUGUCGACAUCGAACCAGACACCUCGGGUAUUCGAUAUCUCUUUCUGACAAAGGCCGAAUUGGCAGCCAGCCCAUUUGCGAACUUAACGUCAAGCCCUUAAUUCAUUGCCGACAUUCCCAAGGGCUGAUGAUCUAUUGAUUUCUUUUUUGGACGACGAUUAUUUAUUGACAUGAAACCAAACUGUCUCACCAGAUAAAUUUGAAGAAAGCCUUGACAUUCGCUUAUUACUACUAUUAAUUUAGUAAUAAUUUAACAGAUACACGGCCGCAAAGCAAAUCUCAAACCAAACAAUGAAGUAGGUAGGUGGCUACAUUGACAAUACAAUCUUUAAAAUUAUUACAACCCAAGAGCGAAAGGAAAGCCUGUAGAGCUUAACCAACUUCCUCCAGCAAUGAACCUGCCAGGAGUAAAAGCCUGAGCUUCACUUGCACUAGUGAUCACCUUGUACCCUCCCCAUUUCACUCUCGCAGAAGUUGAGGCACCGGCCCCAGUGUUCUGGUACUCGGCAUAAAACAGUGUUUUCAGGGCGAAACUCCCGCUCCACUCGUGCCAGCCAGCAGGUUGAAUCACGUCACUGAUUGUUGAUUGCAUUACCACAGUCCUCGAGUAUUCCUUCCAGGGCCUCCCAAGAUAUGUUGGGAAGUUUUUACGAACAGGCUGUAAAUCAGAGGUGGCACCUAUCCUACAUUUCUGGAUCACAAUGCCUGUGUUUUGGUUAGGAUCGGUCCUGCCUUGGGCUGUCACCAUGUUUUUCUGCCCUGAGUUUGGUUUCCGAGCAUGGAUAUCGCAGUUUUGGAACACGGCUGCGGCAUUUCCGAAGAUGAAGUCAACUGUUCCUGCUACGAGGCAGUUAACGUAAAAUUGACGAUUGGAGUGGACGUAGAGAGUGUCUUGGUAUGCUAGCAUGUCACAAUUGUAGAAUGCUGAGAGAUCAGAGCCAACACGGAGGGCAACAGCUUGAUGCUUGGAGGGACCUGCUGUGUUUUGGAAGGUUAUGUCUCGGGCAAGGAACUUUUCACCAACCGCAGCUGCAACCAACCACAUGGGAACAUGUAUUAUAUUAUGCAUGUUCAGCAUAAUGUUCAAUUUUCAAAUAUAUAACAUUAAACUACCAAUGUAAUAAUUCAACGUUUUAUCUGGCGUAUAGCACCUAAUAAGCACCCAUGUGAUUCUGCAUUAUGUAAUGUACAACUAUAAAUUGGCUCAACAACACUUGUUUCUGUUAUUUAAUGACGCUAGCUGCCUAAUAAAGAAAAUAUUGUUAAGCAUCAAAUCAAUUUAUUGAACUUUAUGAUUUCAGCGGCAACAGGACUACGAGGGGAACGAAGCUAGCUACUCCUAUGAAGGCUUGAACUAUUCCAAUUUGCAACGAAAGUAAAACUAUUUGGUAUCUUUUGGAGAAGGCAGCUACUUUAUGUAAACCAACACCGACCCUUACGCAUCAGCAAAGGACGGCACUAUUUAGUCGGGGACCAAUCAAAAGGAAUUUAGAAAAGGUAUUGCUAUGAUGCUGUACGGAGCUGCUCAACUGUGCACAAUAAAUGUACCGUCCGUAACAUCGCCAAAAACUGGAAAUCGGUUGGUCGAUUCCCUUCGUCCAAGCAUGUGUUGGGCCCUUCAAACAUCAGUCAUUGGAGCUCAACACCCCUUACUAGGAUGGGUUAAAAUUGUAUAAUAAAAUAAUCAAAUUUAUUUGUUCGUUGAGUUGGCGUGCCUGGUGCGAUGUUGAAUGCAUGAUAAUUAGUCAAAACAAUAGGUACCAUCCACGAAAGGAAACUGGAAAAAGUUGUUAUAUGACCCAAUGAGACAAGUAGAUGAAACAAGAGGGAAGCCACCAAGUCCCCACAAUCAAAUUUCAUUGAACAUGAUAAUAGAUGAAAAGCUUAUCUAGAAAAAGAAAAAUCCAGGGUCAGCUGUAAAGUAACCUCCCUGUUGUUGUUUUGGGUGAAAACAGGAAGUAGAGUGUUCAAUUAACUCAAUGCCUCUCUAUUUAUCUAUCUAUCUACAAAACUAAGGAGAAAGGAUUUAUUUGAAAAAUGUCAUGGCGGGGUUGAUUAUGAUCUAUUCCAAUAAUAGUGGGCAAAACGAGGAGCACACAUUGUAAACUGACAACUAGUCAAUCGUAGGAUUAUUUGUCCAUUUUGCGUAUGAUAUCUUUCAUAUUCAAAUAUUGUAUAUAAAAAAGAAUAUCCUGUUUGAAUAAUUGACCUUUAGUGAACCAGGCCAUGUGCUCCCCAAAUCUAAUGAGAUAACGUAGGAAAGUUUAACCAAUAUGAUUUGACAACAUGAAUCACUGAGAAGAGAUAAGCAGGGGCCCAAGCUUCGGCUCCAGUGUGAUCAGGGACUGACUCGAGAUAUUUCGUACUUAACGGAGUUGAUUAUCAAUUUUUUAGGUUAAAAUCUGCAUAUAAUCCCUAUACUUUUCAAAAAUUAGGAAUUUAGUCCAUGUAUUUAUAUUUUUAAAAAUUAAAUUUCUUUAAUUUUCAUAUUUUAAAAUUUAAGUUUACAUGGACUAAAUUCCUAGUUUUUGAAAAGUACAGGAACUACAGGCACAUUUUAACCAUUUUUUAAAAAAGAAAACAAAUAUAAUCUGAGGCCAGUAAAUGAUCAGUUUGGCCAGUAGUAGUUCAACUUACGAUCUAUUAAUGGUGGCCGGGAACUUUAGAGAAUUUAUUGAAAAAUUAAUAUAAUGAAAUUUAAUUGAAAAAGAAAAGGUAAAUUCAUGUAAAAUAUAGGAAAUGAAAAUAGACUUACCAACUGUGGCAGAGUGGAAAGUGGUGCUUCCGUCGACCACAUUCCUGCUGCCGGUGAUGAUUGUUUUAGUUCUCCCGUCUCCGAUGAACAUUAUGUUGCUCUUCUUCUUUGGGACUUCCACGUUUUCUAUGUAGACGCCUGCUUUGAUUCUAAUAAUAUACCUUUUGCUGCUUUUCUCCGGUGCUUUGGCGACCGCUUCCGACACCGUUUUGAAGUUCCCGCUACCAUCGGCCGCCACAACCACGUUGGGGGUCACCGAAGACGACUGAAGCAGGCGCCUGUCGCCAGCGGACAACCACUCUGGCCAGGCAAUGCCGCUUUCGUCCUCCUUCAGCUUCCUGUUCGAUGACUUGAGCAUCAUCUCGUUUGCAAUAUCAGUGUCCGUCAUGUUCUUGAUCAUGGCAAGCGCAUUACUGCACAUCUUUUCGACGUACUUCUCGCCAUCGAUCAGGACCUCACGGAUUUUCUUGUCGGCACCCUCGUGAGAAAACCCGUCCAAGCAAGUUUCCUGGUUGGUCAUUGCGGCACUCAUCAGGGUCUUGAGGUCAUCCGCGUGCUGGGUCAAAGAUUUCUUGUUGGGGUACUCAUGAAGAUCCUCAACAGCUUCGUGGAGCUCGUCGAGGGUCUCGUCAAUAGUCUCCAAACAAUCAUGGAGAGCCGUCUUUUCACGCGUCGUCAAGUCCUUUCGAGCCAAAAGCUUCUUAAUCUUGAAGUAAUUGUGUUCGACAGCAGUGGUGGUGAUGUUAAGAGACAAUUCGAUAACAUCCUUUUGGCUCCUCACCUUUUUGGCAGUACCAGCAGGGACGGUAGUAACAGCCGAGAAACAUAAAUCAGGGUAGAAUGUACCACUACAAGCUGAUUUCACAAUGGCAUGAUGGGAAGUAUCGGACUCAUCGGAGUUAUUCCGUGAGCUCACUCCAGCAACAAAGCCGAUUAUAGCAGCGACAAUGACUAAAGAUGCAAAUAGUGCCAAGAAAAUUUUCUUGUGUUUCUUGGUGAAGGAAAUGUGUUUGGCAGAAUCAGAAAUGUUGGAUAAAGUUUCUUUAAUUCGGCUCAUUGUUCCUUUUUGGCUACAAAGAAGAGAAGUUGGAAGGGUGAAGAGAAGCGGCUGCUUGGUUGGAGGAUUUAAAGAGCUUUGAGUGCGGACUCAGCACAGGUAAUUCGCAUAUUCUUUUUUGCAUUUCAAUUAUUUGCAAUUUUCAAUGAUUAAUAAGUCCACAUGUCUUUUAUUUUUCUUUUUUACUUUUUCACUCUCUUUUUUUCACUCCUAAAGCUUCAGACACACAUGAUGCAACUUGAAUUUUUUUUACAAUAUUUACAACUUGCAAAAUUUUUAAAACAACUAGGAGGGGAUCAGGGGAUGUCUUAGACAUAUAUUGUUUAUAAAUGCAUAUUAUACAGGGAUAAUGUAACUUUGUGAACAUCGUGAAAAAAUAAAAAAAUAAAAAAUUAUGGUCUUUAAAUUUCACAUCUAAUCUUAACAUAAGUUAAUUUUGAUAUUUGUGUUUUUUUAUUUUAACACUUAGAAGUUAAUAAUUACGUCUAUUUUGAUACUUAAAUUUAGAAAAAUUUAAAAGUUUGAUGAUAUAACACUUUAAGUUAAAAAAAAACGAUAAUAUGAUACAAUCUUAGAGUGUCAUAUUUAGUGUUUUAAUAACUAAACUCAUGGUUGACCAAGUUAGAUCAACCAUUAGUUAUCAAUUCAACUAGUUCGAUUGUCGAACCAACAAUAAUUAAAAAUUCUUAAAAAUCUAAAAAAAGUAAAAAUAUAUAUAAAUUUAGUUUUACUUAUCUUUUUAGAUUUUUAUAAAAUUUUAAUUAAUUAAGUAAUUAUUAUUGGUCUAGCGGUCGAACUGGUGGUCUAACAUGUUCAACAAUCUGUUCAGUUAUUAAGACACUGAAUAUAUGACACUCUGAGAUUGUAUCACAUUAUCAUCUAAAAAAAUUUAUUUUUCGAACUUAGAGUGCCACAUCAUCAAACUUUUAGAAUUUUCAAAUUAUAACGGACCUAAUUGUCAAGUUCGAAUACCAAAGUGAACAAAAAAAUUACAAAUAUCAAAGUGAAUCUAAUUGUCAAGUUCAAGGGAUUGAUAUGGGCCUACAUGCUAAAUUCAAUGGCCAAAAGUUACAUCAUUCCAAUUUUUUUUCAUUGUCAUUAACAAAAUAGACUUAAUAAAUAAUGAUUUUCAAGUUCAGAGAUUAAAUAAAUAAAAAAAAUUAAGAAGAAAUUUCAACGUAUUUACCGAAUUCAAUGGCCGAAAGUUACGUUUGUUAUAUAAUAUUGGUUGGAAAUUAUAAAUAGUUUCCUUGUAUUAAAAAUGAGAUUUGUUUAAAAUAAUGAUUAAAUUUUUUAUCUCACACGUAAAUAAAAUGCAUUCAAAUCCGAACAUAUGUUUUUUCACUCCAAAAUAACCACCGGAACAAAAUCUUAAAAACCUAACUGAGAUAAUUUCUCUUCUUAUUAAUGAUUAGUUUUAUUGGUUUUCUUUUUCAUUACAUUUAUUUAUUUAUCUUUUUGGAUAGGCUGCUAUAUAUAUAUAUAUAUAUUGCUAUUAUUGAAUAGGCUGCUGUAAGAUAUUAGAAAACUUGUCAUUUUUCUGGGAAUCUCUGAGAAAAAAAAAUUAUACAUUGCACAUUUUCGGUCAUAAAGAAUGAUGAAGAAAUUUCUUCUACAUUCCUUUACUCAUUUCACUCCAAAGAGUUAAAUGCAUCUCUUGUCUUCUUCAAUUAUUGAAGAUUGAUGAGACACUUGCCUUCCAAUUACUUGAUUAAUUGACCAUUAAGUUCUCUUGGAAAGAAACGUAGGAUUCUCCUUUUUUACUACUUUAUAAGUCUCUUCUUCUACAUUCCUCUUUGUCCGAAAUUUUUAACUAUCGACUUCAUAGUAAUCUAUUAUUAUUGUUGUGAAAUUAAAAGGCCUUAUUAUUAAUUUCGGUACUCUAUCUUUUACUUUUUUCACUUUUUUCCUUAAACUACUAAUUUCUUUUUUUUUUCCAAUAAUAAAGUCUCGGACACACAUGUUACAACUUGCGAUUGUUUUAUACCGUCAACUUGCAAUUAUGAUUUUAUUUACAAAAAAACAAACAAACCGAUGCCUGAAAUAUUAUCGUGAAAAAUUCAUUGGUACUUUGGUUUGAUGUCCUUUUUUUUUUUUUCCUUGCAUUACAUUCACGUGGUUUCUUUCCUUUUUUAACGUGAUUUUUAUGGGUUACUGGAAUGUCAGAGAACUUUGAUUUUCCUUGGAUUCUUGGAUAAGUAGUAUCUGAUUUCUCGCCCAUUUCCUCGCUUCAUUCCCAGAAAAAAAAUGAAAAAUAUUUUAUUUACUAAUUUCACUCAGGCUCAAAAACCCUUUUAGAUUUCUAAUUUAACCCUUGAAUUACAUGAUUUCCGUUUUAUGUUGUCUUGCAAAGAAACCAAUAUGUUACCAGAUUAGGUUCAUGUAUGCCUCUUUCAAGAGUGUCGGUGCUAAUAACUAUUUGUACGAUUCUUAACUUUAAAAAAAAAAUAAUAAUCCACUUGUCUCUUUUUCUCCACUUGUCUCUUUCACUCUCAUUUUAACAUGAACCACCUAAUCACCCUUGCAUCUUAUCCUACUUUCUAUAUUGGUGAUAAAAAAAAGUUUUUUAACAUCUUCAAUUAUGUAUAUUCGAUUCUCUUAAUUAGGCUUUUAUUAUGUCACAAUGCUGUGUUAAGGUUUUAAUUAAUAUCGUAUUCCAUUAAGAUUAUACGUUAAUGUCAACAAAAAGAAGAUUAUAGUAAUAAUUUAAAUCCGAAAAUGCUUAGCGCCUGAAUUGAUUAUUUGAUUGAAUGAACCAACUUUAUAUAUAUAUAUAGCAAAACAGCCUUAAAUUUCCGAACGAGUCAAACAAAAGUAGCGCAGCCAUGGAUUCUGGGAGAAAUAAAACUACAACACAACUUGCCCUAAAGAGAUCAGAACAACGUAGACAAAGGAAACGUGGCCAGCCGUCUGCAGUUUUAAAUAAAUAGAUUUCAUAUUCGUUGGGUUUGCCAUCAUCGUGUUACUGAUCUCGAUUAAAUAAAUCAAAACAUUAAUUUUAAAUAAUCUACUCUUCAUUUAUUUUUUCCUAAAGUAGUAGGUAGAAUGGCUUUUGUUUUUAUAUACCACGACAGAUAAUCUCGUUCCGUUGCCAAUUCAAGCAUUGAAUUAAAUACGUCAAACCCAUAUUACUUUAAGUUAAUUAAUCACCCUCUUUUUUUUUGACCUUUUAAUAAAAUCUAUGCAUCAUCAUUUGUUUCCCUACCAAAAAUCAUUUCAUAUAUUGUAACAAUAUUAAAUGAGUGAUACAUAUCAUUUUAAGGUGACAGAAAACAAUAAAAAAUAUUUUUUAAAAUAAUUAAUGGAAUAUAUAAUAGUAUUUGAAUUUUUAUUUGUGAAAUUAAAAAUUAAAAUCUUAAAAUCACUUACUCUUUUAGGUUAUUGAUCAUAUUUAGAUAUUGUGAUGUGUAAUUAAAAAAUUGUGGAGUGAGAAAAUUCUAUUGGAUAGAAUAAUAACCCAAAAUAUUAUCCAAAACUUUGUUAUAAUGAUGCCUUAUUGGAUGCGAAACAAGAAAACGUUUUUAAAAGAAAAUCCCACGUCGGUUUGUGCCAGAGAAGGGGACAAAAGCUAAAAGACACGAAACCACUCCAUGAACUGGAUAUUUCAUUCUUGUCCGUAUAAAUAAUUCAUAAAAAAGAAAAAAAACGUUACCACCACAAGUAGGGUUCUUAAAUUCCAUAAACCACACUAAUAUCAUGAUGUAAAAUUUUAAAAUAUUAAAAUAAAUGAAAAAAAAAACUAAUCAAAACAUAAGAAAGAUACAUGCUAAUGCUUAAAUUUCAUUACAGAAAUUUUAAAGUGUAAUAAAAAUGAAUUCAUGUGUGUAUAUAUUCUUUGCUUCGUAUAAUUAAAAAGAUAACUGGGAAAAAGACUUGUCUCGGCUAAAAGAAAGAGGAAUUUUAGCAUCUUGCUUUUCAGCUAAUUUUAUGUAUGCUCUCUCUGAGUUUAGACAUAAGUGUUAUCUAAGCUGUAGUUGACACUUUUACGUAAUGAAGGGUCAAGUCCGAAGUAAACAGUAUAAUAAGUUAAUAAACAUGAGUCCACUUAUUUCAUAUCAAGAUUAAUUAAUACAAUAUAAUAAAAUAUUUAUAUUUAUAUUUUAAAUAUUUUUACAAAUAUUAAAUUAUUUAUAUAGUUUUAUUAUAUAUUUAAAUUUUAAAAUUUGUAUUUUUUAUUAUUUUAAUGUUUUUAGUUAAUUUUUAAUAUAACUUCUUAAAAAUAUAAAUAAAAAGAGUUAUGUACAGAAUUAAAUAAUUUAAAUUAUAAAUAAAAUUAUUUAUAUUUAUAUUUAAUUAUAAAAUAUUUUAAAUGCAAGAAACCUUUUCGAGUCAUUAAGCAUAAUUUUAAAGACAUUUAAAAAAUCAAAAUCAAUAGACAGUUAAGCGUGGAUUGCCUGCUUCAUUGUUAACUAAAUAGACGCCAUUCAUAUUCUCAUCGCAAAUCACGCUUUGUUUUUUUCUUCUUAAUAGUCUUUGGUCCGAAUUGGCAAAUAAUACGGAACACAAGGUUUUAAGUUUUUUUUUUAAAAAAUCAACAAAUAAGUAUAUUUUAGGGUAAAUUCACUUUUAGUAAUUAAACUGUGGAUAAAAUUUCAUAUCAGUCACUUAAUUAAAAAAGUUACAAUUCGGUCAGUAAAUUUUUUAAAAAUUUUCAUUUAAGUUACUGAACUAUUUAAAAGUUUUUAUUUAAAUCACUAAGUUGUUAAGUUUUUUUUUCUUUUAAGUUUUGCCAAUGAGCACCAAUUGAAAACUCGCAUUCCCCUUCUUUUUCUACAACUUAUUUUUUCUAUGAAACACCUUUUAAUGUCACAAAUCUACAAACUAAAAUCGAAAUAGUUUUUUUCUUUGAGUUCGGAUACUAAUCGUUAUAUCAACUUAUAUCUAAAUUAUGUUAUUCUAUUCAUCAAUGGAUAUUGAUCCACCGUAUCAAUUGUUGAAUUGAUACCUGGAGCUUACUAACCAUACUUAAAAAAGAAAUCAAUAAUCCAAUAACUUAAAUAAAACUUUUCGAAUAAUUUCGUUAUUUAAAUGAAAAUUUUCAAAUAAUUCAAUGACCAUUUUAUAAUUCUUUAAAAUUAAAUAACUAAAAUAUAAAUUUACUAAUAUUUUAGUGACGUUAAAUGUAAUUCUACCAAAAGAAAGUAUACUAGCAUUCAUGUAGAUAAUUUUAAAGCUUUUAUUUCUCUCCCUUUUUUUUUCCUCAAAUAAAAAAGUAUGUUGCUUUUUCUUUAACCAGUUGGAUCAUCAUCAUUACAGUGUCCCAUUUUCAUUUUCUUUAUAUUUUAUUUUAAUAACUAAUGUUCUAAUAAUAGUAAUUAUUGAGAUGUCUGGAGGGGCGGUAAGGAUUUUUUUUUUCUAGAAAAGCAACUGCUUUAUUGUGUAUUAAUAGUCAAAAAGAUAUAUCUAUUGUGGAUUUUUUUUAACACCUUUUUUACCCGAUAGUAGUUUUAAUUUAAGUGAAUUAGAGGAUUAUUAUUUAUAAUAUGUAGAGAACUACUAACUGAUUAAUUGCUACUAAUGAACAUAUGUUAAUAUAAAUUCCCUCAAGUUGGACUGUUGGAGGAUGUUCUUCACUCUAAAUUUGUCUGUACUCCAAGUGCUGUCUUCAUAAUUUCGGCCAAGUGUUUGUUGAAGCGGACAUGAUGUGUCUGAGUAAGGCCUUCUUCAACUUUCUCCCUUAUCAAAUAUGUCAGUCAAUCUUGUCGUGCUUUCUUCUCUCGUACAUGCGAAUAGUUUUGUAGUUUUGAGUGUCAAAAUGCAAUUUGACAAGUCUCAUCUUCUUAACUCCAAUUUACUUUAGUGGUCCCAAAAACCAAACAAUCUCUGCAAUAGUUAAUGUCAUUCAGCUUUGUAGACAGGAAAAAUAAUUUCAGAUGACUUACAAAAUAUUAUCUGUCAAGUUAAAAAUAUUAUGGAUAAAAUUUACUUUAUGAUCUUAUUCAAUCAACAGAAAAGAGAAUAAUUUUGUUCUUCAUCAUUAAGCUUAGAAAUCUUUGAAACGGAAUUAUCGUUUUAAUAUCAAGUUAAAAUAGCUGUUAGAUCAAAAUUCUUCGAUUUCAUCACAAAAAAAAAAGAAUCAUUUUAAAUAAACUAACUAUUUAAUCUUUAAGUCAUAAUGUAUGACGAAAUUCUUCCCAAAUAAAUUCAAUUUGAAUAUCACAUAAAACUCUAAAUACAUCAACACAAUAACUAUUUUAUUUUUUAAAAUCACAUGAAAAUUACGUAUAAAUUUUUUUUUUUUGAAAAUAUUCUAGAUUGGGCUCAUAUUAAAAAAUAAACCAAACUACAAAGUCUAAAAACAAGCUUAUUAUACUAAGAACCGGCCCACUAUUUCAGCAGGCCCCUAAAUAGCUCAAAAAUUUUGAAAUACCGAUCCUAAAGAAUUCAAAUGACCAGAACAAAAAUCUAGAUAGAAUAGUCUAGAAUAGCAUUUAUUACGCCGAACCAGUGCCCAAUCAGGUUCUCUGAAAUCUGUCAUCCGAUCAUUCCAUCAUUUCAUUGUUUUUUUGACGAUUUCACUCCAUCAGAAAGCUUUUCCUUUCAGAACCUUUCAUUUUCUUUUGUUUUGAAGCUUCCUCUUCUUCUCUCUUUUCCACCGAGAAACUCCCUAAUCUGGUUCACUUUCCCAUUCGCUUCUCAUUUGUUCUUCAGCGUACUCAGGGACUUCCCUUUCCAGGUAUAUUUCUUCCUUUCUUCUUAGAGUUUCUGUUGCAUAUUCAAAUUUAUAGAAGCCAAUUAACAAUGUUAUCAAUUGAACUUCAAUUUUUAACAAAUAGAGGGACUUGAUUCUUAAAACUAAAAGCAAGUAAAAUGACUGAAUUAUAAAAGUUAAAAAAGUAUAGGGAGUGGCGGGUAAUUAUACUUUUUCUCCUCCCCUACUUUCCGAAAAGAAGAAAAAAGAAGGUGAAAAUGUGUCAGCAUUUAGAAGCCUAAAUUUUACGGCACGCUUUGUAUCUUGGUUUAAUUAAUAAAUAGUUAUAGAUUAUGGAUAUGAGUGAAAUUGAGUAAAGGAUAUGGAAACCAUAGCUGGGCUUUGUGUAGUAAUGUAGCUACCUUUGUUUAUAACAAUGUCGCAUAUCUAUUCUUUAGCUAACAUUACUUACAUCCGUGUAUUCAUUUACUAUCUUGUUGGAAAAUUUAAAUUAUCAAUAAUGUCUUAAUAUACUUUAAUUACUGAGUAAUUGGAGCUAAAAGUUGGAUGAAAUGAUUCCAAAUAUUUUAAUAUCAAGCUAUGUUAAUUUAACGCUCUAUUUAUGGAGAACAGGAGCAGUUGUUAAUUAAAAAUAUAUUUGAAUUGAGAUUUGAGAAUGCACCGAGGCAAUAUGGGCUUAAAGAUCUGGCCUAUUAGAACCCAUAGGAAAUCGUUAUUCCGAAGCCUGAUCCAGCCAUUGGGUGUUGCAACAUCUUUUAUCCAAAAGGCCGGAAACAACAUAUCAAAACCCACCAACUAUAUAUUAUAGUUUUUGGAGCACGACUAAGGUCUUCCUCUCUCGCUCGCUCUCUAUAGCUGUUAGGUUUCAGCACCGAAAAUUAGCCUCUCACUGUAAGUCGAAGUAAGCUAUGCUAAAUAAUUCUCCUCUUUUUUUUUUUUUUGAACCUUUCGAUCUUUUGAUUUUUUUUUUGUAGUCCGUUGUUAUUACUGUUAUCGUACACGUAAAAUGAUAUAGCUGAGAAAGUUCCAACUUGCGUUGGACAGUGUUUGCUUUUUUUUUUUUUUGGUUAUCUUUUAUAUAUGAAGUGAAUUAACAGUGAAUUUAGUUAUUAAAACUAUUGAUUAUGUUGAAAAUUUCCUAGUACUUUAUUUUUCAUUAGAAAAGCAUUGAGGAAAGCAUAGUUUUUUUUUUUUUUUUGGUUUGGACUUUGGAUAGCUUUACUGGCUAGAGGACCUGAAAAGUCCCUAAAUAUUAUAUAACUAUUAUAGGCUUUGGAAGCAAAUGAAAAUGGGGAAAAAAGCAAAGAAAGGAAAUAGUGGUUUUGAUGAUAAUGGUUAUAAAAAGAAUGUAACGAGCCAGGUGACUGAUGGGACUGGGAAAUUUAAGAAAUCUUUCAAGCAUCACCAGAAUUCGGACUCACAAGCACCGGUUAUCAGGUAUCAUUACUUUGUGAUCCAAGUUGUUAAAAAUUUUGAAGUUGUGUUUUGGAAUGUUUAACUGAUAUGAUUACCCUUUUAGGAAACAGGUUGAGCCUGAAACAGCAAAGUACUUUUCGGAGAUUGCAAACCUUUUUGAAAGCCAAGGAGUGGAUGUGGAGGAGCGAUCAGUUAUAUGUGGUAAUGCUCUUGAAGAAGCUAGGGGGAAGGAAUUUGAAUUAGCAACAGAUUAUAUCAUAAGCAAUACUCUUCAGACUCUACUCGACGGCUGUAAUUUGGACAAUCUAUGCAGUUUCCUUCGAGGCUGUGCAAAUAUCUUUCCUGCUAUUGCAAUGGACAGGUCUGGUUCUCAUGUAGCUGAGACAGCUUUUAAGUCAUUAGCCAGGCAUGUUCAGGACACAGAAGCCUACACCAUUAUUGAAGAUACUCUGAAAAUGAUAUGCAAGGUAUCAAGUAUUUGAUUUGUACUCUAAUGGUAAAUGAAACAAACUCUGUCGCAUGUUCUUGUUAUAGGACUUCUGGAGGCCUUGCCUGCCUGACAUACCCUUCUUUUCAGUGUAUUAGCAGAUACAACUAAAUAUUUCAAGAGACUUUAUUUGGAGGCAAACUAAGAUAAUGUGCUAAAUUUUGCUACUUAACUCUGAAUCUUUCUUUGAUCCAUUUCAGGUUAUUGUUGUCAAUCCCCUUGAUUUAAUAUGCAAUUGCUAUGGAUCUCACGUUCUUCGAAGUCUUCUUUGUCUCUGUAAAGGAGUACCACUGGACUCCCCAGAGUUUCAUGGAGCAAAGGGAUCGAAAGUUCUAGCAGAGCGGUUAAAUUUAAAAGUAUCUCACCUGGAUGGGAAUGAUUCCCAGCACCUCCAGCAAGGAUUUCCAAGUUUAUUGAAAUUUCUUGUAUCAGGGAUGAUGAACUGUACAAAAGAAGAUAUGAAGACCCUACAAGUUGAUCAGUAUAGCAGUUUGGUUCUGCAGGCAUGUUUUUCUUUUCUCCUGUUAUUUUAUAUUAUUUAAUUUUGUCACUGUUAUAUAGUGUCAGGUAUGCAAAAGCAAUCUGUAAGUGUAGACUCCCUUGCCUUAUGGCUUUUUGCACUGUUGACGAGCACAGGCAGAUAAGUAUUAAGAUAUUCCAUCUGUUAUUGGAUCAUGCAACCAUGUAUUGAGUUGCAGAAGAUGAUAACUAAUUCCUGGAUUAAUUGGUUUAUUGAAACUUCAUUAUUUGCAUUCUACUUAAUUACACUUCUUAUUUUUGGGGUAAUUUCUCAUUUAAUAUGUCUACUUCUUUUGAUUGUGCUUGUAGAUUCUGACAAACAUUGUCUAUCGCAUAUGACUAAUUUGUUUAUUCUCUUUUUAUGCGAUGUGGAGUGUUGUAGCUUUCCAUGAGUUUUCAAGUUCUUAUCCUCGUCCAUGAAGGGUUUUUUUUUUCUAAACGAGGUUUUAAUGUAAUGAAUUGACGUGCCACUGAACUUUUAGUUCUUCUCACUUGGCAGACAGCUUUGAAGUUAUUAGCCGGCAAUGAUCAAGAAUUGCUGCACAUAAUUCCAGUUCUUCUUGGCUGCAACAAGGAAAAUUUAGCUGAAGGAAAGUUUGACAUGAUCGUUGCUGGUGAAACUGUAGAAUCAAUGAAAGAACCCGCAUUUAGCCAUUUAAUGGAAGUAAGCAACUUCUAAUAGAUUAUAGUUUAUUUAUGCAGUACUUUAUAUUUUAUGCUAUGAGACAUUUUCUUUUUCUGUAUCAUAAUAUUGUUUGUAUCUCUAUAUGUUUGAGGUGUUACUGCAUUUGAAUUGAACCAUUGUCAUAAAAAUGCAAUUUGGAAGGCAGCCAUUUGAUUAGCUCCUCAAGGAUAUGAACCCAAAGAACAAUGUUAUCUUAGACUUAGUCUUAAAAAAACAAGAGAUAAACAUAAAAUUUUGCCCCUAAUUUCCUUUGUAGCCUCAUAAUUAUAUUAUUCAUAAGCCUCUGGUUGUCAUUAAUGUUGUCGCUUGUUAUAAAGUACACUCCAAGAUAUGUCUUCUGCUCGUAAUUGCGAGGCUACAGGUUAACUCUUGUAGUUAGAACUGUCUGGACACUGUUCUAGAUGAGUCAAAUUUUCCUUUUCUUUUAGUUAAAUCCCCUUAAUCGAUGAUUAAAGUUGGCAGUGAAGUGGGAUAUUUUCAUUAUUCCUGCUAUACUAGUUUCACAUAAGAUUCAAGAGCUGCUACCACUGUGAUAUCUGUUCUCCAAACCGUCUUGUUCUUUUGGAAGCACAACUGGAUAAAAGAUUAAGCAGAGAAAAAAGCAGUUGAUUCCUCCACUUCAUCAUUUCAUUUGCAUGUUGCUGUUAAAUAAUCUGCUUUAUGCUUUUUCUUUUUUGUUUAUUUCAUGGUCUUAGCUCCUUUUUCUGCAAAAUGCAGGUAAUUCUGGAGGUUGCACCUGAAAGCCUGUAUAAUGAUAUGUUGACAAAGCUUUUGAAGAAUUCAUUGUUUGAGCUUUCAUCCCAUCCUUGUGGAAACUUUGUUGUUCAAGCAUUAAUUUCCCAUGCAAGAACAAAAGAUCAAGUACGUAUUCUUUAUUUGCGUUGCAAGAUUCUAGGUUAAUGCUUAUUUGUUGAAAUAAGGCACUGCAAUUGAUGCUAGUGUUCCAUCUAUGAAAUUCUGUUAUUGGUAGAUAUUUACUCCUCAUUGUUUUACCCCUUGACUGCUGUUUAAUUCUUCAGUUUGUGGAGGUUAUUCUGGUGCUAGAUGUGUUGCUAAGCUCUGUUCUGACAUUUGAAAGAAACCUCCCUUGAUUUUGUCUAUUAGAUGGAGCUGAUCUGGGAAGAGCUUGGGUUGAAAUUUGCAGAUCUUUUCGGAAUGGGGAGAUCAGGAGUUAUUGCUUCCCUUAUUGCUGCUUGUCAAAGGCUUCAAACUCAUGAAUAUAAGGUUUGGUAGUUAGAUUCAUUCCUUUAAUGCUUGCUGUUUAGUAAUUCUGUACAUGUGAGUCUGAAACAGCUGGGCAAGAACUCUUAAAUGGAAAUUAUAUCAUACUAAAAUUUCCCUUUGAUGUAGAUGUCUUGUCCUAACCCUUGUUGACUUUUCCCUUCUUUUUUUUUCAGUGUUGCGAGGCACUUGCUACCGCUGUUGGUUCAAAAAAUGAGACUUCCAAGUUCAUUGUUCCUCGGAUACUGUUUCUUGAGAGUUACUUCAGCUAUGAAGAUAAGUCUAGUUGGAGCUGGCCUGGCGGAGCUAAGAUGCAUGUUAUGGGUUCUUUGAUUCUGCAGGCUAUUUUUAAAUUCCAAAGUGUAUGUUUCUUUUCUUGAAUAUGUUUUAUCAUUCUCUUUCUAUCCAAUUAAGUUAUUGGCCUCAGAUAUAUCACGCGCUAUCAGUAAGUUUCUGCCACUUUUGCUUGCAUUAACUAAACUAAAGUUGUGAGCUUCAAGCUUCUGAUUAAGAUGUGUGCAUAUGGUAAUAUUACUGCAAAAUUUAAGCUGAAUUUUUUUAUUAGUGUAGCAAUAUAUAAACAGUAAGUGCAGGAAAUUAUUUACGUAGCUUAUAGCCUGAUACUCAAGCAGAUUUGAUCAUCUUUAAAUGAAAUUUUCUGAAAGGUGAAAUGCCGGAUGAUUGACUGAUUAGAGGUUGUAGUUUGAAUUCUUGAAUUGAAUGGAUAUUACUCACUAAAACUUCGCAGUUCUAAACCAAUGUCUUAUAUGUUGGUGUUUUUAGUUUGAUCAUAAAUGACGAACAAGGUAUUCUAGUGAGAAAUAUGAUCUGGCAUUACAGAGGAGAGAUAUGAUACUUUAGUUAUGAUCAGUUCAUCUGUAUCUUGAUUGUUUUUGGAACUUGAGAACUCUUUAUGAUGUUGGGGUUACUUAAAACAAAAGUGUGAAUAGCUGGCUUCUAACUUUAGUAUGCUAUCUCUUGUUUCUUGUUUACAGGAAUGGAUACAGCCUUAUAUUCUGAGUAUUACAUCCAUGGACGCUGAGCAUGUUCUUGAGGCAGCUCAAGAUGCUCGAGGAGCGCGGGUUAUUGAAGCAUUUCUUGCUUCAGAUGCUUCAACAAAGCAGAAGCGCAGAUUAGUUGUGAAGUAUGUCAAGCUACUGCUUCGGCUGUUUUAUUUUUUUUUCUGGAAGUUCUUCUCUGUGUUUGUUUCAUUUCGUCCAUUGGUUUAAUGUGACAUCAAUGGAACUUGUCUGCACAAAAAAAAAAAAACCUGGUCUUCUGGCCCUUUUUUUUUCUAAUGGAAUAAUAUUCUACUCUCCUGAGAUUCCAACUGGUAUUUUUGCAUGAUCAAAUAUAAAUGACCCCAGUGCUUCUGUUAACUAUGAAGGUUACGUGGACAUUUUGGGGAGCUUGCAAUUAACCUAUCUGGUUCUUUUACUGUUGAAAGAUGCUUCAAUGCUGGUAACUUGUCACUAAGGGAAGCCAUAGCUUCUGAACUAUUAGCUGUACGAACUGAACUCUCCAAGACCAAACAAGGCCCGCAUCUGCUUAGGACAUUAGAUAUUGACAGGUAAGUAAAUUUCAGUUUGCUGGUCUGGUAAUCUGAGAUUAAUUCUUUUGUCAUAUAACAGGGUAAAAUGUAAUGCAUGCUGAAGCUUAGACUAGUUUGGGCUCAAUUUUGAUAGGAAAAACAAAAUAAAUUUCAAUUGUUUGUUCAUGUUUUAAUUUGUCUAUUUAGAUUACUGAAUUAGAGGUUUGAUUCAUCUGUGUCACAUAUUUGUUUUGCUCCAUGGUAAAAUGUUGUCCCAUCUAUAUGCUACAUUCUUAAAGAAAUGUUGCCGUUUGUGUUUUAUUUUUAUCAUACGUUUCUUCAUCUUUGCUCCAUCAUGACAGAUAUGCUACCAAACCUGAUCAGUGGAGGUCAAAACAAGCAUCAAAACAAUCAGCCUAUAAUGAAUUCUUUGUUGCCUUUGGCUCUAGCGAAUCUAAAUCAACAAAACGUAACAAACUCCUUUAUAAUGCUUCUAUGGACACAUCAGAGCAUGAAGAAUUGAACAUAAAGAAAGAUAUAGACGGGUCUCUCAUUUCCACUUCCGUGGUUGAUGAUACCUCUUCAGAGAAGAAAGGAAUAAAGAAGAGAAAAAGAGAUGUGGCCUCUGAGGAUGCAGUUGGUUCUAACAAGGCAAUAGAGAAGGCUGUAAAAAAUUUUCUCUCAUCCAGUACACCAGAUAAGAAACGGCACAAUGCUUCAAAACAGAGACUGAAAAUUUGAACGUUUAGGAUACAAUGCGUUUUGCUGACGGUUUCUGAUAGCUGACUUGAGCUGCAUCAUGUUACAGGCUAAGACUGAAAGUUAUUUUGCUUCUGUUUACAUUCUUCACGUUGAGAUAAAUUUUGAGUGUGCCAAGCAUUUUGGUUAGGAUAGAAAACAUAAACCUUCCUGGGAAAGUGGGAACCUUUCUUGUUGUAUCCUACCAUUUUAUACCAAGUUAUGGCAGUUUGGCAAUAGAAAUUGACAGAUUACGGUACCAAAACUGUUUUUUUUUUUUUUUUUUUUUUUUUGGGAGUCAAUACAUGUUUCUCUUAAGCUAUGACUCUUAUUAGUAGACAAUGUAACAAGAAAAGAAAUAAUGAUUUAGAGAUCUUGUUAUCUUCUUCAUUUAUCUCCUUAAAAGCGGAGGGUUGGACCUAGUGGGAAAAAAAAAUUAUAUUUAAAUAAUCAAUCUAUAGAGGGAAGCUGCGAUCGGUACGAAGGCAUGAACUGUUUACGUGAAUUAUAGAAUUGACUUGUUCUGUAUAGGGUCUGAGUAGCUUGGGAGGUCUCUCCCAAGUUGGAAGACAGAGUUGUCUCGUUUAAUCAUUUUUAAAAUGUAGUAUCUUUCUCUGGACUCAGUUUACAUAUUCCAUUUUCCAUUUUCUCCAUUACAUGAUUCUUUAAGUUCCGUUUUGGAUGGUUUUUCAGCUAAAAUGGUGACUAAAACCCUUAAAAAGAAAGUAGCCGAUCUUUGGGGUUUCAAGUUUAGAUUCUGUAAAUAAAUCUUUCACGUAAUGGUCUGUUUCAGGUGCAAUGAAAUGUAAAUAUCCCCUCUUCAAAUGUACCUGAAAACCAAUUUACCUCACCCUUGAUGAGUAGGUUCAAUUAGGGGCAAGACCUUAUGAUUUCAUUCCUUUCAUUAGAUCUGUUUUUCCUCUUUGGUUAAAAAGUUGGUUAGCACAGCUGACUGGCGAGCUACCUGCCUUUUUGCAGCAUCGUUUUAAGAUUUUGGUAUUACCUAACAGGUUACAAAAUUUAAUACAGGGGGUAAACCUACCCCACUGCUGUACUUUACAUGGCAAACGUAUGUAAAUGCUUCCGACUUUUCUUUUUAGAGAUUGACAUAGAGUAAAUUAGUUCUCUCUGCUGAAUUUGAUCCUUGAACAAUGUAACUAAGAAUUCAGCAUUUUACCAACAAAUCACAUGGUUGUUGGCGGGCAUAUUAUACCAUUUCACCUUUCCUUGUUUUCUAGCCUUCAUAAAUUGUUCAUUUAUGCUUUUAUAUUAUUCAAUCAAAUAACAGGUUUGAUAUGAUCUAAAUGGAUUAAUCCCUUUAAACUUAGGUAACCAUAAGCAAAUCUCCAGUACAUGUGAUACAUAAAUGCUUGCUGUGAAUUCGAUCCUCCUGCUGAUUUUUUCACAGGUAAAAAAACACAACAGCUUUCUUUGGCAAUAAAAAAACUACCCUGAUUUUGACAGAAGAAGAAUCUUUCACUUCUUACUGAAAGAAGGAACAAAAAAAACAUAUUUGUUCUGAAUUAAGAUGCUUCAGAAUCACAACUCCUAUAUAAUGAUCUUUAUAGGAUUUGUUGUCUGCUAGUAGAAGUUGUCAUAUGUGUUUGUCGGUUAUCUUACUUUUAUCUGGGUUUAGCUUCCUUUGACCUCAUUGAUCAGUUUCUAAAAGAGAACACAACAUUCAAAGAAUGGAUAAACUUCCAGCGGUCAUCUUCAUGAUCCGAGGAUUUAAGCAAAGGAGAUCACGGAAAACUAGUGUCUUGCCAUGGUGGGACUGGGAACAAGACAAGUUCCCAUCCUGUGGAUGGUCAUAAUAUUUCCAAGCCAACUAAAGGUUGUGGUUCCACCAGGGGAGCCGAUACACCGCCCCCGGCGUCCAUCAUCAGGGCCACUCUCCAUCUUUCUCAAACCCCACAAGUGGAGACUGAGGUAACUUACCAACCUAAACCAUCUUUUAUCAUAUCAACGACCAUGGACUUUGUCUAUUUGGUGACAUUGUGUAUCAAUCACACAAGAUUUGACCUAGGGGCUUCCGCUUUAGAUUCGCCAACAAAAUCUCGCCCCACCUGCCUAAACUGGUUCUUGUAUACGUUUCUGUGUUUGGUAAUUUAGAACUUGCCAGGGAGGUCCCUUUGUUAUUGGGACCUGAUCAAAUUAGUCCUCUAUUAUUAAAUCUAUCAAUUUAGUCCAUGUAAUAUUAGAAAGAAUCAAAUAAGUCCAAUUUUAAUAGAGUUAUUAUUCUCUGUUUUAAAAAUAACAUAAAGAAUUAUUUUUUUCAAUUGCAAUUCAACUCUAAACAAAAUAUUUCAUUUAUAAAACUAUAAAAAAUUAAAAACAUUUACUCUGUUGAUCAGUAAAUGACAUUUUUUCAGAACAAUAAUGGUUCACUAUUUUAAAAUUUGAUAUUAUUUGAUUCUUUUUAAUAUUAUAUAGACUAAAUUUAUCGAUUUAAUAGUAGAAUGACUAAUUUGAUUAGCUCACUAUGAUAGAGGACCUCUCAAUUACUUUCACCUAACUUACACCAUCCUCCAAGUAGUGGCGUAUCUAGGGUGUGGGCGGACUUGGCCAUCCUAAAAUGAAAAAUUAUUCAUUUAGGUCUUUUAGAAAUUUUAAAAUUUUAAAUUGAAAAAGGUAAAAUUUCUUUUGACCGCCCCUAAAAAUAAUAAAAAUUUAAUUUAACCUUUUAAAAAUUAUAAAAAUAUGGACUAUUAAAAAUUACAAUUUAAUUUCGGCCUCUAAAAAAAAAUUUUUAUUGCUUCGCCCCGACCUCCAAACUACGUAUUAAACAUAAUCACAUUUUCUAUUAUUAAAAAGGAUAAUCAUAAAGCUCGAAACAAAAAAGAUACCUUAAUUAUAAUAUAAUAUGCUUCAAACUUCAUUUUUACUCUGCCUUCAUGCAGACUGUUCAUCAAAAACUAAUAAAAGGUAAUACUAUAAAAAGAAAGGGUGUCUUAAACCAGAGCAUAUGAUAAUGUAGGAAUGUAAAAGGGAAAGUUUGAGUUGGUGUUGUGACUGAAAACAGCCUUAAAAAAAAUGUCGGUAUAUGUCUACCAGAAUGAGACAUUAGAGCCUUUAACUUAAUUGAGUCGCUACACUGGUUUUCAAACCUUAUCCCAUGAAACCAGGCAUCCGUUUAUUUUAUAAGCCUUUGUCCAUCACAUAAGUCAAUUGCACUACUCCAUACCCAAACUUGAGAUCUCUAAGACUUUCAGCAACUCAGCUGAUCAUGUAAAACCAUUGACGCCUCUCUCCUAUUUCCUUUCUUUUCUAUUUACUCAAUUAAUCGAUUGAGCUGAACUUCCAGUUCCUACCUCAUUUUUAUAUUAACAUUCUAUCCAAUAGUCGGUAAAUCUUAAAAAGAAGAUCAAUAAUAGGACAAUAAAUAAGCAACAAAAAAAUAUAUUGAGAAAUUGGAUUAAUAGCUUUACAGUAGAAGAAUUCAAACUGAAAACAAAGUCUUCACCAACAGAAGAAAUUGUUUUUUGACCGGAGAAGAUCAAUUCUUUCACCUUCAAAUGCAGAAAAAGCCCCCCACUCUUUUCUUCGGUAACACCCACCACCUAUUCUAAACAUUAAGUAACAAAAAUUAUCAACAUUUUGUACACUAAUUUCAAUGCUUCAAAAUGCACAUCAUUGAGCAAAGCCAUUGGUUCCCUAGAGACCUCCGACACUCUCAAGGGAUGCUCGAUUCCAUUCUGAUCAUCUAAUUUUGUGAAUUUAAACAUCAAUGGAACCGCUUCCUGAACUGCUAGGGAUCGUCCUUUUCUCCCUGCUUAAAAGCCUUUUUAAAGACCUCAAUCUUGUUGGCAUUGGUGACUUUGAUUCCUCCUCUGGGAAAUUCUCGUUCACAUUCGUUGGAAUGUCAAUCACCAGCAUGCCUUCUUGCCUGCCACUACCCGAUGCCACUGAAGACGAAGCGAAAGCACCAGAAGCUGAUGCCGAUGAACCCUCUUCCACGUUGGCACCGCCGCUGCUGACCUGACCUUGAUGAUCACCCCAAAACAACACAUUUGUCGGAAAACUAGGAGAAUCUGUCGAAUACCCAGAACCCAAACCAUCAUGUGAAGGAGACUGAAGAUGGAGAACAUUAACAGCUUCAUCUCUCGACAUGACAGAACUAGAAUUCUCAGCCUCAGCAUUAACAACAGAGUUUCUACAAAGAGGACAAGUGGCGUGCGAUUUGAACCACAUAUCAAUGCACUCAACAUGGAAGCCAUGGUUGCAUUUAGGGAGCAGCCUUGCUUUCUCUCCUUCUACAACCUCACACAAGCAGACCGCGCAUUCGAGUCCGUCUUUGAAGUCUUCUUGGCGGAACAUUAAAACGGGAAGGGAAGCAAGGAUUGUGGGAUCAAGGCCUUUUGUUGCUCGCAGAGGAUGAGCAGUAUCUUGCCCCGGAGCAAAAACGAAACGACGUCGGCGGCGUGAAGCCGAAGGAGGAGUUGGUUCCUCGAUGCGCCACCAAAACCAUUUAGCAUAAAGGUGAAGGAAGAGCACGAAAACCACCACUACGAAGAGAAUUAUUAUGGCUAUGAUCAUGAUUUUCCCUGUUAUUGCCACCGCUGCUGAUUCAUUAAACCCGGUUUUAUCCAUAACUUGAAAAAAAAAGGAAAAAGCUUUUAACUUUCCAGGAAAUGAGAGUAUUUAAGAUGAGAAUUUGAGUGAAAUUCUGCAAAAAAGAAAAAAAAAUUGGUUUUUCUACUUCUAAUAAGCAAACGAAUAAGAUCCAACUAUAACAGAAACAGUAAAGAAUUGAAGAAUCGAAGUGAGGUUUUUGUUUCCUGGGGAAAAUGAGAGAUACCCAAACGAGAGUUUUAAGUAAAAUUUUUCCUAAAAAAGAAAGAUGAGAGUCCAAAACUGCAGAACUCAACUGAGAUUUUGUUUUCUGAGCAAAGGAAAAGAAACCCAGAUGGGAAAAGGUAUAAACUUUCUUAAUCAAACUGGGAUUAAACAAGUAAUCAAAGUAAUCAAAUAUGUAAUAGAGAAAUGGAAGAAAGAUAAAGGAAACUACAGAUCAGAAAAAAAAAUGGGCUCAAAUUCUGAAACCAAUAGAGGCAAUGGAGAGCAACUUGGAGAAGUGGGGUUUUAAAAGAGGGUUAAGGAAAAUGUAGAUACAAGUUGGAAGAGAAUUCAAAGAAGGGAUCCCCAAAAGAAAACGUCCACUUUGGGAACUAGUUGAUGCUGAAAGAAUCAAAGAAGAAGAGAAAAAAAAAAGUUUGCCUUUGAAAGAGAAGUUGGGCAGAGGGCGUUGAGCUGCAACAAGUGAAGAAGAUGAUGCUUCUUCGGUCCAACUUUAUGACUCUUGUUAAUGACCUUUAAACAUGAUUGGCUUCGUAUGAGGCACUUGUAUUCUACCAUUUCCUCUUUUUUUUAUUUUUUUCCUUUUCGGGUAAAACAAUAAAGUAUCCCCUAAAUUACUGUAAUCCUGUCUUUAUCAAAGCUUUGAUCACAUUUUAAAGAAAUUUCUUGCCAUUACAUGACAACCCAAGUUUCAAAGUUUCAAAAAUCCCUGUUCUUGUUGUGACUUAAAAUAUUUUUCAAACUUUUGGUGUUGAGAAAGGUGAUCAAACUACUACUCAUUUGUUUUGGGGAAUAAUCCGAAACAAGAAGAAACUUCACCACAAUUACUGUUUCUUUUGACAAUGGAUCACCAACAAAAUUUCCAUUUCUAUUUACAUCUUACUUUUCUCUCAUUCUUUUCAACUUUACUAGUAUCAUAUGUCAAUUCCAUACAUCAAAGUCAAUUUCUGGGAAACAGCCUCUCCAUCAUCUCUUCACUCUCUCAUCUCACAUUCUUCAUUUUCUCAAGUAUAGUUAAUGCUCAAUUAAAAGGGUACCAUUUUUUCCUUCACCUUAAUACUAUUUAGUUUAUAUAUAGAAUCAAAUUCCAUUUUACGAUUCGUCUAAGCAAAUCCAUUUUACGUGAGUCAUGGCGGACAUAAAAAGUGGGGAAGACUCAAAGUCAAAUUUAUGCGCACCAACCAUUGAUUUUUACAAUGGAGAAAGCAAAAAGUAAUUUGUUUAUGUGAUUUUAAACAAAUAACGUCCAUAAGUUUUACAAGAAAAGCCACGGUAAGCAUUUUCUUCUUCUUCUUCUUCUUCUUCUUCUUCCUGUUUUUUGUCUAUGAACAAAGAAAUUUUGACUUUGGCUGUGUCAUUGACUAGUAAAACAAUACAGUCUUUUGUCAAAUCUAAAUAUAAUCUAUUUGUUUUGUAAACCCAAAUUUAAAAAAUAAUAUCGGAAGUUAAUCAAUUUAUUUAUCCUCCAAUUACAAUCUCUUUUUAUUUUAUUUUAUUUUAUUUAUAAAAGAAAAAAACUUAAUAAUUGGAGCAUUGGUGAACGAACAGUUAACAACCUUAAAGUCUUAAACCCCAACUUGAAGUGCAAGACUUGACUCACGACUAUGACUGGGACGACCGUUCUCAGGGGCAGCGCCGACGCUCAACCUAUGGCUUCACCAGUUGAAUCAGUCAAUUUUAGGGCAACAAUGUUAACUCGGUCAACUAUCACUCAAAAUUAUUGCAUUUUUGAACCCUAUUUUUUCGGAGCAAUUAGUUCGCCAACAAAAUAUCUUAUCCCACAUGUCAACAUAAGUUCGUUCAACAGAAAAAAAAAAACCAUAAAAGGGCAGUUCUUAUCUGUUUAAUGUCCAACUUUAGAUUUGGGAUGAAAUAGUAAGUUAGGUUAAAUCGUAUUUUAAUUUUAAAAAUGACAUUAUUAACAGGAAUAAUUAUAAAUCUUUGAAUAAUGGAUAUGAAAAAUACUAAAAAAAAUUGAGGCUUCCUAGAAUUUUAAAAUUUUAAGUGCAAAAUUCGUUUUGAGUAAAUCAUGUAUAGAUUAACCUUUUCGGAUUUUAUUUUAUCUCAAGUCUCAAUAAAUAUAUAGAUUGUAUUAAAUUUUAUACCAUAUUUGAUAAUGUUUUCUUCUAGUAUUAGUGAUUUGAAUGUAUUAUUGAUGUACAGUUACAAUUAUAACUUGUUUUAAAGAUUUGUUAACUCAAAAUCCAGCAGUAAAUUAAUAGAAUUCUACUCCGGUGCAUGGGCCUAAACAAAAAAAGAGUAAAUGGUGAACUUAUAUAGCACAGUACACUGACUAAUAAAAUAACUACCCUGAAACUUGGUGACUCGUAUGGUCCACAUGGGUUAUGAAAAUUAUGCAGAUGAAGUUUCAAUUCAUUUUCUCCCGGCCAAGGAUUUAAAUGAUGGGGUGGCUUCAACAACCAAAACCGGAAAAAAAAAAUCAAAGAUGUUCAGCCAACCGAAUUUGGCAUGCUUAGUUUAAUUUGACUUUUCUAAUUCAUCACACUUUGAAUUCCAUUGACUUCAAAUACAAUUGGUUUGGGUCAGAAGUUAAGCACAAUUUUACAACUAAAAUCUAGAUCUCUAGCCACCCUUCAUAAGCUCUGAAAAAGUCGGGAUUCAAACUUUACUUUAUAUUAAAUAUCGAGUUUGUACAUAAUUUUAUUAUGUUGAUCAAGCAAGUUAAGUUUUGAAUGUUCAACUAAUCAUUUGAAGAUCGUAAAUUCAAAAGCAUUUAAACGUGUAAUAUUUCUUAAAUUAAAAUUUUAAAAAACUGUAAAACAUAUCAUAAAAUUUUCACCUAUUAUUUAAUUAUACGAAUUGAAAUUAUUUGAUCUUUUAAAUUUAAAAAGUUAAAUUCAAGAAUAUACAAAAUUUACUUAUUUGAUUCUUUUAUUUAUUUAUAUACAUAUAUAUAUAUAUAUAUCCAAAAUGAUUUAUUUAUUUUUUUAAUAAUCCACCUCCAGAACAGUAUAAUAAUAGCUAAGGCCAUGAUGUUGUCUUGGGGGUUAAUAAACACUAAACAAAUAUAGGAAUGGGACCUGAAAUCAAUCAAGUUCCAAAAUCAUUCAAACAUUUAGAAAAUUGGAUUAGUUUUUUGUUUGUAGAAGAGGAAAGUAUUAAGAGCGUUCGGCAUGCAAUUAACCGCUGUUGCCACAUCGAAACAAUCUAGUAAUCACCAUGAUUUGUCCACAAUUUGGGGCUUUUAAACUUUUAACAUUUUGGAAUACCCAAAAAUAAUGAAAAUUAAGGCUAGACAAUAUGAUGAACACCCAAUGAUUUUCCUCCUCAUAAUGACCAAUCGAUGACAUCAAGUUGUAAAACACAAAUACUGACGUGGAUAAAUGGAUCAUUUUUAAAAUAUAAUUAUGAAUUAUAUGUAAAAUAAUAAGAAUUGGCCUGAUAUUUUUUUAAUUCGCUUAUAGAAUUAAAAAAAAUUCUAUCAUAUUAUCUUAUCAAAAUUCUAUAUGUUUAUUCUUUAUUAUAAAAUUUCAAUUUUACAAUAAAAUAGCAUGUAUGUUUAAAAUAUUUUUAUUUACUUUGUAAAACUAAAAACUUACAUUAUUUUCAAUAACAAAAAUCUACUAUUUACCUUUCAUCUUUAGAACCCACCAUUUUACAUCAUGAAAGGAGAUCCUAAUUUCAAAUCUAAUCUUUAGGUUUCUAGGUUUGUUCAAUUAAAGAGCUAUUAGUUGGAAAUUAGUAAAUAAAUAAUAGAUAAAGAAAAAGAGGUAGAAAACGUUAAAAGCAAAUAAAAGUUACCCGGGUAAAAAGUCAAAACCACAGCGGCGCAAAAGACAAAUUCAAAAGUUCUUAUAAGGAUAAAUUACACUAAAGCUCACUAGCUUAUUAGUAGGUUUAUAUUUUGAUAUCACAAUUUUAAAAAAUUACAAAAUGGUCACUAAACUAUUUGAAAGUUUUCAUUUAACUUGCUGAGUUAUUAAAACCGCUGUUAUAUGACAUUCUUUCCUUAUACUGCCUAUACUAAUAAAAAACUCUCAUUCUCCUUCUCUUAUUAGUUUAGUUUUUUUUUUCAUGAAACAUUUUUCAAUGUCACAAAUCUGCGAAUUAAAAUCCAAACAACUUUCUUUUCUGACUUUUGACACUAAUCGUCAAAUUGACUCGAAUCUAAGGUAUACUCUUCUACUUGUUAAUGGGCACUAAUCCAAUAUAUUGAUUAUCAAAUAGUCGCUUAGAGCUCGUUAGCUAGACUUUUUAAGAAAAAUGACUUAACAACCUAGUGAUUUAAAUAAUAAUUUUUAAAUAGUUAGUGACUUAAAGGGAAACUUUCAAAUAAUUUAAUGAACAUUUUAUAAUUUUUUUAAGAUAAAUAAUCAAAACGUAAAUUUACUAAUUGUUUGAUGACAUUAGAUGUAAUUAACUUGAUGGAUUUUAUUGAAGAUUUGACAAUUCUUACAACGUAAUCCAGAUUAAUUAAGUUAUGUUAUAGAAUGUUAUAUAAAUUUUCAUUUUAAAUUAUGUUAUACAAAUUCUUUACGAGUCAUUUAAUGGUUAAAUUAACGGUUUCAAUACAUCGUCGAUAGCUUGAAAUAUAAUUAAAUUAUUUUAAAAUUUAAAUUUAUAAUCAGUAAGAGAUAUUCAAUUUUAUAUUAAAAACGAUGAUUGUGACAUAAAUAAGGGGUAUGCAGUUUUAUAUUAAAAAUGAUGAUUGUGACAUAAAAUUUAGGUUAAGAUCUUAAAUAUUCAGUUAGAUUUUACUCGAAUUAAUACUCUUUCUUGCAAGUAAUACAAAGUUGAGAAGUUAAUUGUCAAAAUGUUCAUUUUUAUAAAAUAAAAAUAAAAAAAAUCUAUUAUUAUAUUUAUCUUUUCGUUUUGGUGUUUAUGGAUUGAGUUUGGAAAUAGAUUAAAAUAUUUUUGAAUUCCCAUAAAAUGAAAGUAAAUUAGAAAAUAAUAAAAUUUAUAUUUGAUAAUGCUGUUUAAUAUUUAAGUCAAUGAAAUAAUUUUAUAACAAAAUAAGUAAAGAAGUAAGGUUAUAAGAAAUAAGAUGAUAGAAAAAAACAUGGCUCGUGAGUGAAAAUGAUUGAUUAAUCUCAAUUUGCAACAAAUAAGUUAGUAGUGUUGGACAAAUAGCUUGAAUGGUAUUAUGAAUGGAAAACGAAUGAUUAUUUAUUGAAUUUACAGAAUAAAUAUUAUAAAAGAUAAAGACAUUAUGAGAAUAAAAAAUAAUAUAAUUUGUAGAAAAAUAAAAGAAAUCAUUAUCGAUAUAUUAAAAUUAAAUAUUUUAAUAUUUUGACUCAAUCCCACGUCACAAGAUAAAAAGGUGUUUUUUCUUUUGAAGUUUGGCCCAUGUGCUAGACAUCCCCACACGCCUAAAAAACACGAGCAAGAAAGGAUAAACAAUGUGGUCCAUUGGAUUGGAGUCGCUUUGGGCUGGUUAAUGCUUAUUUGUACAUUUCAAAACACAAGCCUUUUUUCUUUUUCGAAUAUCUCACAAGAUUUAUUAAUUUUAAAUACCACAAUAAAUCAAGUUUGGGAUGUAAUAACAAAAAGAGAAAUAAAAUUUUAAUUUGCAAUCAAAUUUCAGUUGUGAGGAUUGCGUAUGGUUUAGUUUAAUGGAUUUUUUUUAAAAAUUUUUGAAUCCUUGAUGAUAAUUCGAUUUAAAUUUCAAUUUUGUCAUUCUAAUUUAUUUGAGUUUUAGAUUUUUUUUAUGAAUUGAAAUUUUUAAUUUUUUAUAUUAUUUGGUAAGUUUUUAAUUUUUUAAAAUAUUUAAUUUUUUUUCAAAGAAUAAUAAUAUUCAAUAACUGUUAUAUAAUAUUAAUAUUUUAAAAAAUUUGUAGCAUCUUAAAAUACGAAUUUUGAUAUAUGAACUUUGAUCUGGUGCAUACACAUAAAGCUCUAAUUUUAAUUCAAUUAUACAAAUUUAAAGAAAUAAAAAAUAUCAAUUUAUUUUUAUAUUCGAUAAAUAUAAUUAUUUGGGCAUGCAAAAUAUAAACAUAAAAUAAUAUUAUAUCAAUAAUUAUGUUAAUAAUUUGUGAGAAUUAGGUCAAAUUAAAAUUUCACAUAUAAACUCAUACAAAAUUAAAAAUUUAUUUAAAAAAUAUACAUUAAACCAAAAUUUAUAAAUAAAUUUAAAUUUAUAAAUUUAUAAAUUAAAUAAAAAAAAUCAAAUUCAAUAUAAUCCAAAUAACGACAAUUUUAUAAAUUAAAAAGAAACAUUUUAAGACAGCAUUAAUUCAAAUCAAUUUUCGUCUUCUCUUGUCUUUUUCUCAUCUCUACUUAUAAGUUAUCACUUUCACUUCCUAAAGAAAUAAUUAAAAUAAGAAAUAAAAUUUAGCAAAACGUGAGUGGGCGUGUUUCGGAGACGUCAAUUCCGUUUAUCUACUUCAUUGAAUUUGUGGGCCCUACCUACAAAAAUCUACUUAAUUCUAUCAUUUUCCUUUUUCAAAUUGUUUUGUGAGUUUAAAUUAGCGGUAGAAUAUAUUUAAUUUUAUUACUACUGUUAUUUUUAUAUUAAUUGCAGUAUCGUCAAUUUAAAUUUACCAUUAAACUGUUAGAGUUUAAGUAAAAUUUAUUUAUUUAUUUAAAUCUAAAUCAGUCACACUAUCAAUGGUAACAAUUGAACUAAUGUUGAAUGGAUUAUGAUUUUCCUUUUUGGGUACAAACUUAUAUUAUGUUAUAAAAAAACUCCAUAAAGCUUUAUCGCUGAAAGAAAAAGCAACUAUAAACUCGAUAUAGUAAUAGUAGUUUAAACCCCAGUCCUCUUGGUUGGCAUUAAUUUGCAAUUAUAUAUAACUAGUUUAAUCGCUUAAUUUACGUAUUAAUACUUAAAUUAUAUUCUUUUUCUUCUAUUUUAGGACCAAUUUUGUUUUAGUAAUAAGUGGCAUUUAAGUUAUUCUUUUUUUUUUAAUAAUUUCGUUAGUUAAAUUGUUAAGUCUAUUUAAAAACAAGCUUAAUUAACAAAUUUGUACCUAAAUUAUGCAUUUCCCUUAUUUUGAUACCUAAACAUUUUUUUUGUUACAAGUGGUAUUUAAGUUACUUUUUUCCCUAUAUUUAUUAAUUAAGUGUUAGUUAAAUCGUUAAGUCAAUUUUAAAAAAAAUAUAUUAAAAUUAACAUGUGGUAAAAAAACAAAAAAUAUUAUUUUCUCUUUUAUAUAUAUUGUUUUUAUUUUUUCUUUAUUUAGAACUGGAUUGAUGGUUGAAUCGUUUAGGGUUUGAUCAGUUAUUCUAGUUUGAUUAAAUAUUAUUAAAAAUUCAUAAAAAAUUUAAAAAUUAAAAAUAUAUAAAGUUGGUUCAAUUAGUUUUUUAGCUUGGUUCAAGCUGACAUGUACUAGAUUACAAGUCAAACGGUUCAAUUCCUAUCCGAAUUGGUUCUGAUUGAUGAAAUUAAUUGCUAGCAUCUCGACCUUAUAAAGGCAAAUUUCGAGCAUCACUGGUAUUGUCAUACAUUAUAAAAGAAAAAAAAAGAGGAAAAAAAUAAAGAGAAAAAUAACGUAAAAGAAAAAAUAAAAUAAAUUUAAAAAUAUUUUUUUAAAAGUUUAUAUGAUGUGAUAAAUUAUUAUUGAUCAAUUUUUUUAACAAAUAUAAUAUUUUUGUGUAAAAAUAACAAUAGAAAAAUAGUUUAGGUGCCACUUGUAACGAAAAAUAUGUUUAAAUACCAAAAAAAAAAUGCACAGCUUAAAUACUAAUUUAAGCCUAUAUAAGCCACAGCUAAAGUUGUAAAACUAAAAGCUUGAAUCCCACUUGUAAAUAAUCCAAAGAAACAUGACAAGUAUUAAGGAUGACUAAAGGUACUAAAGAAACAAGAACAACAAUUACUAAUUUGUCAACUAAUAUGUUUGAAACAUUUUUAAUAUAUAUAUAUAAUGUUUUAGUAGUUGUAAAUAAAAAGUUAUAAGUGAUUAAAAGUUAUGUGACUAGGUUAUUAUAUGUCUAAAAAUAUAUAUCAAAAGUUUAUUUCUAUUCUCCAACUAUUUAUUAUAUUCCUAGAAUGUUUUAUAAGCAAUUAUUGUAGAAUUUUAUAGAAAUUGAUAUUUUACUAUGCUCUGCUCAAUGCUAAGUAAAUUAUUUUUCGUAAGUGCAAAACAUAGACAAUCAUUGAACUUCAUUGUAUUCUCAAAAUUUAUUUAAAAAUAAUUUUUUUGUAUACCAUAAUAUAUAUGGAGUGAAUAGAAUCUUAAAAAAAGUAACAUGCAUAUAAGUCUUGAAGUAUUUUUCUUAAUUUUUUUUAUUUUUAUCCCCAUACACUAAUAUAAUAUAUUCCCUAAAAUAUUUAAUAAUUUAAAUAACUUGAGAAAGAAAAAACAAUUUAAAUAACACUUGUUACGAAAAAAAAAUUAAAUAUCAAAUUGAGAAAAAAAGAAGUUAGUCGUUAGUUGAGCCUAUUUUAAAUUUGAGUGAAGUUUAUGAACUGAGUAUUAUACAUAAACUAUUAAUUUUUGAAAAAUAUGGUGGAAUAUUCAGCUUUAAUGUUAAAUAAAAUGCUUUAGGCUCUGAACAAAACCCCUCCUUAAGCCCCUUCCCAUUGUAAGCAUCGAACAUAACGUUUCUUUGAAUGAAACAAAACAAAAGGAUAAAGUAUUUUUAGUGAACUCUUAUGAUCCUAGUAAAAGAAUACUUUUUUUUUUUGGUGGGGGGGGGGGGUCUAGAGUACUCCGAGACACCAUUGCAGCUUUUCAUCGUUAUCAGUUAUCAGGUCGAGAUUUUUUUAAUUACAUUCAAAGUCCUUGACCUCCUCUUUCACCUCUUCUUUCUUGAUAGUUUGUGCAGUUAUCUUUUCAAAUACCCUUUUCUUUACCAAUCUCAUCGUUUUUUUUCUCCGAUCUAAUAAACUGGCUGUUGGAUCGAUGUCAAAUUUUGUCCAUAGACCCCUUCUAACAAUGAUCUUCGUCCCACCGUUGGGAUUUUGAAAACGUAAUCGGCAACCACUCCGACUAGCCAUAGCAGUUUUGUUGGGUUAAAAGGUCCUUCAGCUCUUUUAAAGCUUCCAUGGCAAUCGAUUAUUUGGCUGUCGGUUGCCACUCUUACUUUCGCUUUGUUCACCGGACCCUUUUUUUUUUUUUCUGCAAGUAGAGACUUGAUUCGAAAUGAUAAAGUCAUUGGCCUUGGGUUAUGCCUUCCUCUUCCCUGACCCCUAUUAGAGGCUAUUUCCGAGCGAUGCUAACUGGCUUACUUGGGCGGUCUUUAUGUUAGUUUGUUUUAUUUGGGCCUUGGUCUUCGCUUGAGGGUGAAGACUAGGCAUUUUUGCUGAGGCGGUGAAGACUCUUUCCAUCAAACUUAUGAUGGCUCCUUUUUUUAGUAUAUUAUGAGCUUCCUCACAAUUGUUGUUUCAUAUCAGUAGAACGGUUCUGUCGCCACAAGAAAAAUGGUGGCUUUGCUCAUUUUGGUGGUUUGCUCACCUUGCUUUGAUUGUCUACCGAUCAAAGUUUCAGCUUGGGUCCUCUUUUGCUUCUUUUUUGUCAACGAUAAAAGCUUGAUUGAAGUGAAGGUUACCUCUAUUCGGUUCAAUUCGGGUUUUACGAUUAAUGGCCUCUGGGCCUUUAUUUUACAUAUUAUACGAAAGCUUUGGCUCUUGAUUGCUGGUAAUCCUCUUUCACUUGUCAAAGUUUUUUUUUGAACAAAAUACAUAUAUCUCGAAAAAGGGGCGGAAAAUUAGAAAAAGCAAAUUCAAUAAAGGACUGUAUACCGGACAAAAGAAUAGGAUCAUAUUUCAUCUCACCAUGUUUGUAAACAAAAGGCAAACCAUCUAUGAUAGAAUAUGUACAGGGUCCCUCUCCUCUCUAAGAAUGAAUCAGGGUUAGCAUGUUAGGCUAGGCCCUAAUCUAAAAGUUGAUCAAAUAUAGCCAAAACUCUCACAAACUGCCGUUCUAAGCUCCAAAUAAAGUGGAUUCUCGACCCAUUUUCCAAGUCUUUUAGCCAAAGAAAGCAAGGAAGCAGUGAGAAAAUUCCUUUCAGGCGCUACGCUAAUCCUGCAAAGAGGGCAAGUGGGACGAACUCUGAGCCAUGAAUCGAUGCAGUCAAGAUGAAAACUAUGGUGGCAUAUUGGUAACGACCGGAGCUUUUCCCCUUUGCAGACCUUGCUGAGGCAAACCACGCAUUCAACUUCAUGGCCGCUUCCGCUACCUCCAAACCAUCGUUUCGACACUUUUUGGUAAACACAGAGGCUGCUGGCAACGAGGGAAGCCAUGAAAAUCAACAAGAUUAUCGGGAGCAUCUUGGCUGAUCACCAGGGUGAUGGAGUUGGAAAUUCAAUUACCUCUACAAAAGCUUCAAAUUCAAGCAAGUUUGCUUCGCUUGCAAUAGGAGAAGGAGAAUUUAUUUGUUGUGGGUCGGAGUCAAAUUUUGGCUCCUCCUGUCACUUGGAAUGGUAACCAGGCUGACGGUUGACUGCCCCCAUAUGGUCAAUACGUUAAGGAGACUGGCUGGAAUAUCGUUACCGUGUAAAAUCUUGUCUGCUAUUUACCGGCGGCUAAAUAUUUAGAGAUUUUCAAUUAUAUGACCAAAUUAUAAUAAAGUUAAAAGUGAAAACGUGCUACUAUAAUUACUGCCGUAGCUUCCCAUGUCUGUCUGAAGCAAGAAGACGUCAAAUAAUUAAAAAGAACCAAUCUUUUCUUUUUUGUUGAUUUUUUUCCUUUAAAAAUAAUAUCUAACAAGUUUAAAAUUGCAUGCAUAAAAGGGAAAUAAACCAUUCUAGAAGACUUACGUAUGUGAUUAAUAUAUGACAAUUUUAAAUUUAAUAAUAACCUAGGUUUAAAAUUAUGAAAUAAAACUAGAUUAUUAAGAACUUUGAAUGAAAAAUCUAGAAUAUUCAAAAUCAUCUUAUAUUACUUAUUUAUUUGACCUUAGAUUUUAGAUUUUACUCAGAUCUUGAGGGGUUGGAAUGAAAGUUCAUAUUGUUAAUGGUUCAUUUGUUUAUUAAUUUAUAAGUUGUAAGGGAAAUUUCCUUUCAUCUUUUCUUAUUAGAACAGAAAAUCCAUGCUAGACAAUAAAAAUUUGCUUAGACAAUUAAAACUUCUAAGCCUACACUACAUAAUCAGACCAAAAGGAUUAGUCCUUUUUUUAUAUACAGAUAUAACUAAUAAUAACACGCUUCUCAAAAACCAAACUAGCAGUAGCACGAGUUAAAUGAUCAGAAAAAUGCAACGUAUGCAGAAGAGUAAUAAACACUCAACUUUUUUUUCUUUUCUGGUCACAAAGAAGGAUUUGAUUUCAUAAGAUCAAAGAUAACAGAAACAAACUCCCAAAGAGGGAGAGAAGAGCCAUCAAAGUGGUCUGAAACUACAAGAGAGCAUCCCCUAAAACAAAAGAUAUAAACAGAUCAGGGGCGGGUUUCAGCUCAUGAUCCCGUCUACCCUAAGGUCCUCCAAUUUCACUGACCAGGUUGAUCAAGAACCCCUUUUUCCACUAUAUUCUGUUCAGAGCAGGGAGGUAGAGCAAUACCUCAGAUUUUCCCAUCCGCGUUUGCAAUUGUCCAAUUACCCGGAUUGUCUUCCACUAUACUAAUCAUCGGCCCAAAAGGUCUUUAGUUUGAAUCGGAAAAAAACCGAGGGAAAGGAAAGAGAGUUGAGAAUGAUUUACUUUUCUUUGUUUUUAUUUUAAUUUGAGAAAAAAAUGAGAGGAUAUUUAAAAUACACUUUUUUUAUUCUUUCUAGUAUUUUACAAUUAACUCUUUAUUUUUUUAAAAAAAUAUUAACUCUUUAUUGCUUUAAACUGUUAAAAAUUUGAACUUUGAAGUUAAAAAACAAGUAUCAAUUUUUAUUUUUUUUAUGGUAUAAUUAGAUUUUAUAUUUUAGUUAUCAUCUCUUUAUUUAAAAAAAAAUUGUAACAAUCUUAUUUUGAUUUUCUAUUUUGUAAAUUACUAGGAGUAUUUAAUUUUAAAUUUGUUUGAUAUAUAUAUUGAAUUAUUAGAUCUCAAUAUUUUAGGUAUCAUUAGAUUAUAUUUUUAGAUUAUUAUCUCUUUAUUUUAUUUUUUAAAUUUUAACAAUCUUAUUUUAUUUUUUAUUUUGUUAGAUUACUAUGAAUCCUUAAUUUGUAAUUUGGUUAAAAUGGUGUUUGUAAUUUAAUCAAUAAAGUCUGUUUUAAACAAGAAUAUGUCGAUAUAUUAUUGGUUAACAUUUUAACUAUGAAAUUUAUGCAGAAUAUUUGUAUUUUUAAUUUAAUUAUAUAUUAUUUAUGUAAAAAAUAAAAUUGAAAAAUAAUUCAAUCCCUUUCCUUUCCAAAGUUGAACCAAACAAGAUAGAUUUUAACUAUCCAAACAAACAAUAAAUAUAUAUUUUCUCUUCUUUUCCUUCCCUUUGCUUAUAUUUAUCCGCACUCUUCCAAAAUACUAGCAUACAAAAGAGUAAGAUGAUCAGAAACAUUGACCUGUAAUAAACUUAUUUAAGGGCCUUACGACUGGUUUAGUAUGAAAUCGAACCAAAACUCUGGGCUCAAGAAAUGGUGGGUGUGGGUGUAACUUAACCCACCAAUUUCCAAGGCCCUUUAAUAUCAAUCCCGGCCUUUCAUUUGAAAAUAGAGGCUGAACCUGAAGACGUUAUCCAAACCCAGUGCCUGCAAAUAUCAAACAAAUUGUAUGUAGUAGAGAAUUCUACGACUAUCUCUUCUUAAUUAACUUCUGUGUGGCUCUCUCUGCUUCUCGUUCUUUUGUUUUUCUCUUUUGUGUGUGCUCUUCCUCCGCAUCCAAGUUUCUCUCUGAGCCAGGCUCUUUACACUUAUGUUAUUCUGAUAGUAUCACCACUUUUGGUUACUGAAAUGCGGGCAUCUCAAGUGUGCUAUUAUUUUUUGUUAAGUUUAUAAGUCCCGAGUCUGAUUCUUUGGGCUGAAUGAACCUCCAUGCCUUUACUAGGUACACUUUUUUUAUUUUCCCCAUUGUUUUGCUUUGGUUUCCAUAGAUUUUAUUGCUUCUGAAAGUUUAUAAGAAGAAAAAUUUCAGAUUUUUUUUGUCGUGUUCAGCUUCAAUUUGAAUUUUUGGAAUUUGUAUGGAUUUUGUGUGGUUAGGGUGUUAAUGAUUUUUCUUGUUAUUAUUUGCCCCUGUUCUGGUUCACUUCAUCUGAAUAAAUAUGGACUGUUUUUCUUGUGUUUAUGAUUUUUUUUCACCAGCUUUCUGCUGAGAAUUAACUACGAGCAUCUUUAUUGUGCUUGACUGCGUGAAUAGAUAUUGCCAGCGCUCAACCUUCCUUGCAAGGUCCUCUGGUUCCAGUGAGGGUUCAAACCCUUUUUUAUGGCCAGCUGUUAUCAAAUCCAUGGAAAUCCUCUAAAUUGCCAAAAAGGGUCAAUUUUAGUGUGGGACACCUGGAGAAUCCAAGUGGAAGACUUCAGAUUAGGGCUGUUGCUACCCUUGAACCCAAGUGCUCUGUUCCAAAAGAAGACCAACCUAAUAAAUCACAGCUUGGUGGUGAUUCAAGUCCUUCGUCAACUCGGCUUGAGUCCUUGAAGUCCGGAGACUCAGAUGAAGAACCGGACGAAAGAGAAAAGGUAAGACGGAUGAGAAUUUCUAAAGCAAAUAAAGGAAACACACCAUGGAAUAAAGGCAGGAAGCACAGUGCCGGUAAAUGACCUGGGUUCUUUAAUCAGUCCCUUUCUAUUUUAAUUAGUGCAUUCUUGACUUGUUACCAUAAAUGCAUAUAUAUUUGUCUGCAGAGACCCUUCAGCGGAUAAGGGAGAGAACAAGGCUUGCAAUGCAGAAUCCUAAGGUGAUGUCAUGUAAGAAUUUUUUAUGUUAUCACAGGGAUUGAACUUUGUAUGUUUUAUUUGCAUAGCAUGAAACCUAAUAUAUCGGGAAACCCUUUUCCGGCAAUUAAGUUAUUAUCUGGUACUUGUUAAUUAACUGGUCCAAGCAAUUCCUUUUACCAUCAUAAUCCCAUUAUGGAUGGAUGAUGGACUAAUAUCCAUUUGGUUUGUGGACGCUAGUUAAGCAUAGAAACCAAAAGUAAACAAUUGAAUUUGAAUCUGAAGUUCAUUUUGGUUAGAUCUAUACUCCUAGAAGGUCCCUUCCAUCUUUUUAUUUUGUAUGUUCUAUGACUGCAAUAUUUCAUUAUAGAUUUAAGAAGUGACAUGAAACCUCCAUAGCAUAAAAGGGCUAGUUGCUGUAAUUUUUCAUCUUCCUUUAGCAGCUAAGUUGUUUGAAAAGUCGGUUGCUUGUUUACAUUGUGGAAUUGGGAAUGUUUCUUUCUAAUGACUUUAUCAUUUAGAUCGUUUCUCGGGCAAUAUUUUCUGGUAAAACAAGGUAACCUUUGAGGAGAAAGCAUUUCAAAUAACUUUUCAUUUUCUAUGAAGAAAGGGAAACGAGCUACUUGAAUGGGAGAUUAAUUGUGCUAUAUUUUCUUGAUCGUAUAUCAUCAUAUAUAGUUGCUUCAGAGUUUCUUACAUUUCUUACUCUAAUGUAAAUUUCACAAUGCAGGUCAGAAUGAAGUUGGUUAACCUUGGACAUACUCAGAGGUGGGUACUUUGUUACUAUGGUUUCGCUUUUUUUUGAUCUUCCUCUAUUAUUUCUUGUCACUCCAGUCAUUCAGAGUUCUGAUAUAUGUUCUGAACCUUGUAUUUCAGUUUUCAAUUACCAUAUAUCAAACUUCUAAAAGUUCUUUAUGGAUUUUUCUACCUUGUUAAUAUUUCAUCAUGAUGAUCCUACAGCAAAGAGACGAGAGAAAAAAUUGGAACUGGAGUACGAAUGGGAUGGGAAAAGCGCCGUGAGAAGUUGAUGGUGCAGGAAACUUGCCAUUUUGAGUGGAUGAACUUGAUUGCUGAAGCUUCCAGGAAAGGCUAUCUUGGUGAGGAAGAGCUACAGUGGGAUUCAUACAAGGUGCUAGAUGAGCAAUUGGCAAAGGAGUGGUUGGAAAGUGUUGAGCAAAGGAAAACGAUGCCUAGACCAAAAGGUAGCAAGAGAGCACCAAAAUCACUUGAACAAAGAAGGAAAAUUGCAGCAGCCAUUGCAGCCAAAUGGGCUGAUCCUGUAAGUGCCUUGCAUAGCUUUUUUGCCUUCAGCAGUGAAAUUAUGGCAUUGAUAAAGAUCAGAAUUUUUUGGAGUUGAGUGUAAAAUUGAUAUAAUUGACACCCAAGUCUCAACCUUCGUUGGAUUCAUUAUGAACUCCAUUGUUUAGCUAAUCUUGGUUCCCUGCACCACCAUGUAGCCACCUUCAGUUAACUGAAUUGUUAUGGACUGUAAGAAUACCUAAAAUCGACUCAAUACAGCUGAUGCAGUUCAUACUGAUUUUAAUGCUGACAAGAUAUCCUUAUAGCUUCGCAUCUGAAUGUUGGUUUUCAUUUACUGCUAUUUCCUGAAUAGGAUUACCGUGAGAGAGUUUGCUCUGGCUUGGCAAAAUUUCAUGGCAUAUCAGAUGGAGCUGAAAGAAAACCGAAGAGGAAGCCAACAACUAGUUCCCAGUUUAGGCAGAGUCAUUCAAAGAAGAAAGCUAAUGAAACUAACUAUUCUACUACUAGUGUGACUAUAAGCCCAAUCGAGCGGUUAAGGAUGCGUAGAAGAAAUAAACCACUUUAUAAGGAUCCUAUGGCAAGUUCCAAGCUUGAGAUGUUAAAGAACAUCAGAGCACAAAGAGCUGCUGAGGAAUCGAAGAAAACUGAAGCUGUUGAAGGAGCAAGGUUAGUCUUUGCUUAUAAUCUUCAAGUAUAUAACAUGAGGACUAGCUACGUUACCAUGCAUCAUUCUAUAGGUUGCUAAGUCACUGCAUAACUUAAUGAUCACAUGUGUGACACUGCAGACUUUUAAUUGCUGAAGCUGAGAAGGCUGCAAAAGCCCUUGAGAUUGCUGCAAUGAAGAGCCCUGUUGCUCAAGCUUCACUCAUUGAAACCAGAAAGCUUAUAGCAGAAGCAAUUCAAUCAAUCGAAUCGAUAGAGGGAGGAUUUGUUACAUCCAAUGAGAAUGGUGGAUAUAUUUCUGUUGAUUCAGCUGAACCAGUUGGUCAGGUUGAUAAGAAAAUGCAGUCAGAAAAAAGUACUUUGAGUCAAUCCGACCAGAAGGAAGUGAAUGCGAACCAAUUCCUUUCAUUAAGUAAGAACGAGGAUUUCAAUUUCCAUAACUUCAUGUUCCCAAGGAUAGUGAACGGUGACAGUGAUGAGCAACUUACUUCUCCAAGCUUGAAUAAUUAUAGCUUAUCAACGCUCGACUUUCAAAGUUUGAUUAAGGAGUCUGAUUCACCAAAGCAAUUCAACCAGUUGGAAACAAAUAGGAUUAUCAAUGGAACCAAAGUUGAGCUGAAGGACAGUAACGUGGCUUCUAAAGCAGUUGCUGCUGUAACCAAGAAAUGGGUUCAUGGUAGGUUUGUUGAAGUGACUGAAGAAGCUUCAUAAAUAUCAUAAACUAAGACAGGGAUCUUCAUCUGAGCAUCUUAAAUAUAUUGAGCGAUAUACUGCAAAUGUAUUAUUACGCGAGAGAGUCCAACAAGCUUUCAAGAAUCGGCUUAGGUAAUGCCACUGCCUUAGUGGAGUGGAUACCCUAUUAUCAGCUAUAUAUAUAUUUAGUGUUUGAAAUUUACUCUGUUGUCAGCCUAUAUUUGACAUUUGCGUUUAUUACUGCGGCACUUGAAGCACAGAUGUAUAUUUCAGUACUUUAUUCAAAUUCUAAUAUUAAAUUAGUCGUAGAAAAGGUAAUACUGCCUAAUUUGUUACAAUUAUGAGUGUUGUGAACUUGAAUCUGUAGGUUUCGAGUUUCUACGGCAAUCUGUACCGUUUAUAUGCACAUUCUCAAAGGCUACCUGUUAUGCAGGAUUUAUUGCAUGGGAACACGGACCAGGAAAAUGAAAUUACAACUUAUAAAGGGGAUGAUAUAACCCUUUUUUUCCCCCCUAAAUUUCAACCAUGGUAGUGUUUGUUUUUUAAUACAAGCGCAGCUUCACUUGUUACAGUCAAGUUGGGUCUUCACUCGGGAAUCGAUCUUUUUCUCCACCUCGUUCUUCCUGAUCUUUUUUAACUUUUUUCCCUUUCUUGAUAUCCCGUUCCACUUCCUCCUCCUACCAAAAUUUCGGCGCCUUGUCAUAAAUACGUUCCACAACUAACGACUGUUAUUUAACAAGGUUUGGUAGAUUAAUAAAAGCAUAAAUAGAAUAAAGGGAAUUACCCGGAUCUUUUCACUAAUAGGCCGCCAUGGACAGCAGCUCGGUCUGAUCUUUUGAGGGUAAAGAAGCGUAAUCCACCUUGUUCCUGCUUCUGCUUCCACACCUCUCUCCACCAUCUACAAUUAGCCCCAAGCCUGCCUUCAUUUACUAUAAUGACAAAUUUCCUUAACCUCAAAACUUGUUUCCUCCUACCCCUGCCAUAUUUGCAUCUUUUUAACUCUUUAUGUUCCAAUAACUCAUUGCCCCACGUGCAAAGACAGACGUUAUGUCACGUUUUAUGCUUUGCUACGCGGCUCUCUCUCUCCCUCUUUCCGAGGUGGUGCGGGGCGGUGGAAAAUAUUUUGAAAUGUCGUUGGUAAAAACUAUUAAUAUGGUUAAUCAAGAAUAAGGUAGUAUUGCUGAAGCACUAACUGAAUUAAUGAAAAGAAAAGAAACCAAUAAUUAACAUGCGUUGAUCCAAAGACGUGGAUGGAGUAUUAUAGAAGGCUUGGGAGAAGGAAGUAGGGUCGACAGAGAAUGUGUUAGACGAUGUACCGGUGCAUGUGUAUGGGGUUUGGAGAGAUAUUCAAGGGGAAUACUUGUAUCUUCAUUUGAUUUGAGAGGUUUUCAUUUAAUGGAAAUCGUUCUUUAGGCUUACUAUGUGACUUGAUGUGAUAUGGAUGAAGACAUGAUCUCUCUAGAUCCCAUUGAAUUUCAGUCUGAAGAAGAGCUUUAUAAAGAUCGUAUUGAUUUUUAUCAAAGAAAGACAGGAUUAACUGAGGCUAUUCAAACAGGCACGGGUCAACUAAACGGUAUUCCUAUAGCAAUCGGGGUUAUGGAUUUUCAGUUUAUGGGGGGGAGUAUGGGAUCCGUUGUAGGCGAGAAAAUCACCCUUUUGAUCGAAUAGGCUACCAAUAAUUUUUUACCUCUUAUUCUAGUGUGUGCUUCCAAAGGAGCACGCAUGCAAGAAGGAAGUUUGAGCUUGAUGCAAAUGGCUAAAAUAUCUUCCGCUUUAUAUGAUUAUUAAUCAAAUAAAAAGUUAUUUUAUGUAUCAAUUCUUACAUCUCCUACUACUGGUGGAGUGACUGCGAGUUUUGGUAUGUUGGGGGAUAUCAUUAUUGCUGAACCCAAUGCCUAUAUUGCAUUUGCGGGUAAAAGAGUAAUUAAGCAACAACCCAACAAAAAGACGGAUUAUAAUAGAACAAAGGAUGUCGAGCAAAAAGCACCUUCAUUUCUACAUAACGGAAAGUGGUGAGUUUUGACAUCCACAGCUGAUCAUGUCCUUCAAGUCGCACGUUGCUUUCUACCACAUCGUUUCAAACGAAGUUUUACCAUAACAUUCCUCUAGUUUGGAGCAUUGAUUCAAUUAUGGAAUCAUGAAUAGUCAUUGGUUCAGUCGAUACAUAGUAAUUUAUCUAUACUUUCUAUAUGAAAUCAAUUUCCUUCUAUAUGCUAUAUGAAAUAAAUAAAUAAUUUAGGAAGAAAAAGAUAUUACUAAUGAGUAAACCUCUAGCAACAAGAUAAAAAGCGAAUUUUUCCUUCUGUGAAAUGAAAUUCGAAUUUGGAGAGACAAAUAAAACGAAUUUUAUCUUCCUCUAUUGUGUAUGUAUAUAGAAUUUAAAUAGAGAAAAAAUAAAAUAGAAAUAUAGAGUUUUGCAUCUUUCUAUAUCUCCCGGAAAUUCAAUUUUUACUAAUAAUCCCUGUUCUUGAAUCGGAUUCUAACGAAUCGAAUCUUUCGACAAUUUGUAAUAAACUCUUUCUUUAUUAAAUUCAAAAACUGUAAAAUCCGAUCCAAUUUAUCGUAAUCGAUUAGUUAACAUGUUGGGUAACCGUAUUCUGAAACACGGAAAAAAAUCAUUGGCUUAUCAAAUUAUCUAUCGAGCCUUGAAAAAGAUUCAACAAAAGACAGAAACAAAUCCACUAUCUGUUUUACGUCAAGCAAUACGUGGAGUAACUCCCGAUAUAGCAGUAAAAGCAAGACGUGUAGGCGGAUCGACUCAUCAAGUUCCCAUUGAAAUAGGAUUCACACAAGGAAAAGCAUUUGCCAUUCGUUGGUUAUUAGGGGCAUCCCGAAAACGCCCGGGUCGAAAUAUGGCUUUCAAAUUAAGUUCUGAAUUAGUGGAUGCACCGCCAUGUCAAGGCGGAAGCUGCGGGUUCGAGCCCCAUCAGUCCCGACUGAUAAAAUUUUUAAAAUACAUCAAUUGAUCCCUCCGUUUUCUGUCAAAGGGGAUACAAAUGACAGAAUUUCAUUCCCAACGAUAUCUUUAUGUAACGGCUCAAAUUUCAGUGAUAUCGGAACAGUGAUUUGAGAUCACUAAAUCCGACAAGUAUGUUUAAAAAUUUAAUAAAUUAAUAAUUAUGAGUCAAGUGUGAAUUUAGAAGAAUUUUGAAUUAGUGAAUUUUGUGUAAAAAAAAAGAGAGAAAAGAAUUUAAUAAGUAAAUUGGGUCUAAAACGAGGUAUCGAGACCUCGAAUUCAUAAACCGAGCCAUAAAUAUUUUUAGAAAUAUUUAUGGAGUGUAAAUAAGUUAGUAUUAAAGUUUCGUCAAGAAAUUUUAAGAUUUCGGUAGUUAAUUAGGUGAAAAGGACUAAAUUGAACUAAUUGUAAAAUUGUGAGAUGUGAUUAAAUAGCUUAAGUAUUUAAAAAGAUGGAUUUAAAGAGCAAUUAGACCCAAAGGUUAAUGGCUGGACGGUUUGGGUAUGAAAUAAGCAAGAAAACAAUGUGAGCAAGGGGCAAAAUUGGAAAUAGCAUAAAAGUUAGUAAUUAAAUAAUGAUGUAAUUGAAAAAUCUAGACAUUUCUUCAUCUUCUCAGCCGGAAACGCCGUAGCAGGUCUACUAUGCUGGUUUUUCAUAUUUUUGCACCAUGUAAGUUCAAUUUUUACUUUUUCUUAGUAAUUUUUAUGUUUUUGUGACUUUUACAAUUAGGUCCAAUCAUCUAAUUCAUUAGUUUUUGAUUUGGUGGAUGAAAUUGGAAGUUCCCCUGGCUGAGUAAGGGUAUUUUAUGAUGAAUUAUUAUGAAAUUGAAGUUCUAAUUUCAUAUUAAGGUUGUUUUAUUAAGUCAUUUUGAUAGAAAAUGGUAUUUAGGACCUAAUUGUGAAAAAGUUGUCAAUUAGAUGUUGGUGUUGAAAUUGAGAAUAUCAAAGGUUGUGAAAUAAUUUAUAAUGAUAAAAUAAAGUGUUAAUUGAGAAAAAAUUAGUUCAAUUGAUGGGUGAAUUGAGUAGGGACUAAAUUGUAAAAACUGUAAAUUUUAGGGUAAAAGUGUAAUUUCGAAAUUUGAACAGCAUAAAUUGUGAAGUGAAGUAGAAAUCAAAUAAAUGCUAAUGAGUAGAAAUAAUUUAUAUUAUAGAUCAAGAGAAACGAGAUUCAAGUCGUGAUCGAGGGAAAAAUAAAGUUUACGAGGAAUAGGCUCGAUUGCUAAUAUUUUAUAUCGAGGUAAGUUCAUAUGAUUUUUAAUAAUGCAAUGUGUAAUUUAAUGUUUUGAAAUGAAAAUUUCAUGAAUGAUAUAGUAUAUUAUUGUAUAUAAAAUGUCAUUAAACUGUGAUAAUUGUAAAAUGAUAUUUGAAUAAAAGUACAAAUUAAAUGGAACAACGGACUUGAGUACUUUCAUUCAGUGGCUAAGACGAAUUGACGGAAAAGACCAUGGUUGGACCAUGGCAGCAUGUGAAGUGUGAUUUCCGUAUAAGACCAUAGCUGGGCUAUGGCUUCGGAGAAAUGUGAUUUGUGCUUCCGUAUAAGACCAUAUCUGGGAUAUGGCAUCGGUGUGAUAUGUGCUACUGUAUAAGACCAUAUCUGGGAUAUGGCAUCAGUGUGAUAUGUGAUCCGUAUAAGACCAUGGCUGGGCUAUGGCCUCGGUAUGUGAUAUGUGACUAUGUGCAAGACCAUAAUUUUACUAUGGCAUUGUGAUAAUGAGGUACUCAAUUCCGUAGUUGUUCCCUAAUUUGAUUAUGAACGAAAAUGUAAAAUGGCCCGAAAAGAUUAAGAAUUGGUGAAUACUAUGAAAAUGACACGAUUUGGAAUAAGUUCUUGAUACUUGAUGACAUUGAGAUUAUGGAUCUAUGCUUAUGAAGCAUAAUUAUGUGUUCUUACCAUGAUGGAUGAAAUGAUAUUGUAUGGAUUUAGUGAAUAAUAGUGGUGAAUGAAUAAAUAUGGCCUUGGCAGUUUUGGAUUACUGCAGUAGUGUAACUUUUGAAAUUCACCAUAAAUUGUGGAAAUUGAGUUAAGGGCUGAAUAAAAUAUGAGAUUAAAGCCUGAUGAGUCUAGUUUCAUAUAGAGGAAACGGUGCAUGCAAUUGGAUUUUAUGUUAUAAGAUAUUUAAAUUGUUGUGAGACAGAGUUUGAAUGACUUCGAGAUCCCCUGUUCUGAUUUUAGAAAAUCAUUAGAAAUUGUACAAUUGUGGUGUUUUAUCUUAAAAGCAUGUUGGUAAUUGCUUAUUAAUUUCAUAUGGACUUACUAAGCAUUUAUGCUUACUCCCUCCUUUUCAUUCCUUAUAGUUUUGACAAGCUAGCUCGGAAAUCGGGAACGGUCGGAGGCCCACUCACACUAUCCGUAUACCAUCUUGGCAUAAUGGCUUGUAUAUUUUGAGUAUGGCAUGUAUAGCAUUAUAAUCAUUUUGUAUAUAUGGUCUUAUGAUAUGGUUAUUGAGUGGUAUGGAAAUGCUUGGUAAUGAUUAGCCAUUGGAAUGGCUAAUCAUGAUCAUAUUUGGUGUUAUGUAUGUCAAAUUGCUAGCUAAUCCAUGGAAACCAUGAAAUAGGUAAAAUUUACCAUAAAAUAGAUUCAGACAGCAGUAGAGAUGAGAAUUCGAAAAAUCACUAAAAAUAGUAGAAAUGGAAUUAAAUAAUGAAUAAGUUAUGGAAUCGAAGCUUGAUGAGUCUAUUUUCAUAUGGAAGAAGAGAAACAGGUAUAUGAUCUAUAUUUUAUGAGAUGUUUAAAUUUUUGUGAAAUAGGGCCAGAGCGAUUUCUGGAUCCCCUGUUCUGAAUUUGGAAAUUUACCAUAAAUUUUAAAAAGAUAAUUAGAAGUCAUGCUUUAUAUGUACAGAUUCCUUAUUGAGUCUAGUUUUAUUAGAAACAAACAGCAUAGUCAUUUAAGCUCUGUACAGGGAGAUAUCUGAUUCGUAAUACACAGAGGUCAGAGUAGUCGAACCCUGAAACAGGGGAGACUUUAACUAAUAAACUGUACUAAUUGGCCCAACCAAAAAUUCUAGAAAAAAAUUAGUAGAUAGAUAUAUGAGUCUAGUUUCAGGAAAAAUUUACGGAAUUCGAUUUCGAGUUUCGGAACUCGAGAUAUGAAUUUUUAAGCAACUAUGACGCAGUUGGACAGCUUGUCCGAAUUUGUUUAAGUGCUCAAAUAAGUUUAGUAAUGCCUCGUGCUCGACUCCGGCGACGGUCUCGGAUAAGGGGACGUUACACUUUAUCUUUUUUUUUAUUUAUUUUUUCCUUUUUCUUUUUUGUUGGGGUUUAUUUGGAAACUAUUUGUAAACGGUGAAAGUGGAAAAGCAGUCAGAUGAUACAUCAUCAGAUGAUUGUACAAGGAAGGCGGUAGAUUAUCGAAAAGAAAGGGUGGAAAAGAAUAUAUAGAAAUAAAGGAAAGGAAUUCUUUUGAUUGGACCAGGCAUCACUUUUUGUAUUCGGUGUGGAUAAAAGAUCUUCCUAUGUUAUACUAUUCAAUUCUCGACGGUGAAUCGAUUUGAUAGCCUAGAUAUUGUUAUUCAUGAUAUUGAUCCGAUUCGAUGUCAUUGAAAUGUAAGUCAUUGCAUUGAAUUUACAAGCGACAAAUUUAUCAUCUCUAUGGGAUUAAAUCCCGAGUUAUUGCGAAGUAAAAAAAACAAUGAAAUUAUGGAAGUAAAUAUUCUCGCAUUUAUUGCUACAGCGCUGUUCAUUGGGUUUUUUCUAAACGGAGCCUGGAUGUAAUAUCCUAAUUUUGGGCCUAGUCGGAAUAGUGGUUUCGAGACCACAAAUAUGAGAUAGAAAGAAUUUUUUUUAUAAUUGUUUUGAGGUCUAUGAUAUGAUAUGAUUGCAUGAUUGUGUGAAAAUUUCAUGAAGAAAUUCUAUGCAUAAAGUGCUUAAUUUGAAAUUAGGGACUAAAUUGAAUAAAUUGCAAAACUUGUGUUCUAGAAGCAUUUUGCAUAAAAUUGAAUUAGAUUAUUAAUUAGAGGUCCUUACAGAGCAAUUUGACCAAUUUGUAAGUCUAUGGACAAAAAUUGGACAUGGAUGGAAUUUUUGGAAAGUUUAGUAGUAAGGGCAUUUUGGUAAUUUGAAUAUUAAAUGAAAUUAUGUAGUAUAGGAAGUUGUAGAUAAAACGGAAUAAAAACGAGGUAUUGAGACCUCGAAUUCAUAAACCGAGCCACAAAUAUUUUUAGAAAUAUUUAUGGAGUGUAAAUAAGUUAGUAUUAAUGUUUUGUCAAGAAAUUUUAAGGUUUCGGUAAUUAAUUAGGUGAAAAGGACUAAAUUGAACUAAGUGCAAAAUUUGUGAGAUGUGAUUAAAUAGCUUAAGUAUUUAAAAAGAUGGAUUUAAAGAGCAAUUAGACCCAAAGGUUAAUGGCUGGACGGUUUGGGUAUGAAAUAAGCAAGAAAACAAUGUGAGCAAGGGGCAAAAUUGGAAAUAGCAUAAAAGUUAGUAAUUAAAUAAUGAUGUAAUUGAAAAAUCUAGACAUUUCUUCAUCUUCUCAGCCGGAAACGCCGUAGCAGGUCUACUAUGCUGGUUUUUCAUAUUUUUGCACCAUGUAAGUUCAAUUUUUACUUUUUCUUAGUAAUUUUUAUGUUUUUGUGACUUUUACAAUUAGGUCCAAUCAUCUAAUUCAUUAGUUUUUGAUUUGGUGGAUGAAAUUGGAAGUUCCCCUGGCUGAGUAAGGGUAUUUUAUGAUGAAUUAUUAUGAAAUUGAAGUUCUAAUUUCAUAUUAAGGUUGUUUUAUUAAGUCAUUUUGAUAGAAAAUGGUAUUUAGGACCUAAUUGUGAAAAAGUUGUCAAUUAGAUGUUGGUGUUGAAAUUGAGAAUAUCAAAGGUUGUGAAAUAAUUUAUAAUGAUAAAAUAAAGUGUUAAUUGAGAAAAAAUUAGUUCAAUUGAUGGGUGAAUUGAGUAGGGACUAAAUUGUAAAAACUGUAAAUUUUAGGGUAAAAGUGUAAUUUCGAAAUUUGAACAGCAUAAAUUGUGAAGUGAAGUAGAAAUCAAAUAAAUGCUAAUGAGUAGAAAUAAUUUAUAUUAUAGAUCAAGAGAAACGAGAUUCAAGUCGUGAUCGAGGGAAAAAUAAAGUUUACGAGGAAUAGGCUCGAUUGCUAAUAUUUUAUAUCGAGGUAAGUUCAUAUGAUUUUUAAUAAUGCAAUGUGUAAUUUAAUGUUUUGAAAUGAAAAUUUCAUGAAUGAUAUAGUAUAUUAUUGUAUAUAAAAUGUCAUUAAACUGUGAUAAUUGUAAAAUGAUAUUUGAAUAAAAGUACAAAUUAAAUGGAACAACGGACUUGAGUACUUUCAUUCAGUGGCUAAGACGAAUUGACGGAAAAGACCAUGGUUGGACCAUGGCAGCAUGUGAAGUGUGAUUUCCGUAUAAGACCAUAGCUGGGCUAUGGCUUCGGAGAAAUGUGAUUUGUGCUUCCGUAUAAGACCAUAUCUGGGAUAUGGCAUCGGUGUGAUAUGUGCUACUGUAUAAGACCAUAUCUGGGAUAUGGCAUCAGUGUGAUAUGUGAUCCGUAUAAGACCAUGGCUGGGCUAUGGCCUCGGUAUGUGAUAUGUGACUAUGUGCAAGACCAUAAUUUUACUAUGGCAUUGUGAUAAUGAGGUACUCAAUUCCGUAGUUGUUCCCUAAUUUGAUUAUGAACGAAAAUGUAAAAUGGCCCGAAAAGAUUAAGAAUUGGUGAAUACUAUGAAAAUGACACGAUUUGGAAUAAGUUCUUGAUACUUGAUGACAUUGAGAUUAUGGAUCUAUGCUUAUGAAGCAUAAUUAUGUGUUCUUACCAUGAUGGAUGAAAUGAUAUUGUAUGGAUUUAGUGAAUAAUAGUGGUGAAUGAAUAAAUAUGGCCUUGGCAGUUUUGGAUUACUGCAGUAGUGUAACUUUUGAAAUUCACCAUAAAUUGUGGAAAUUGAGUUAAGGGCUGAAUAAAAUAUGAGAUUAAAGCCUGAUGAGUCUAGUUUCAUAUAGAGGAAACGGUGCAUGCAAUUGGAUUUUAUGUUAUAAGAUAUUUAAAUUGUUGUGAGACAGAGUUUGAAUGACUUCGAGAUCUCCUGUUCUGAUUUUAGAAAAUCAUUAGAAAUUGUACAAUUGUGGUGUUUUAUCUUAAAAGCAUGUUGGUAAUUGCUUAUUAAUUUCAUAUGGACUUACUAAGCAUUUAUGCUUACUCCCUCCUUUUCAUUCCUUAUAGUUUUGACAAGCUAGCUCGGAAAUCGGGAACGGUCGGAGGCCCACUCACACUAUCCGUAUACCAUCUUGGCAUAAUGGCUUGUAUAUUUUGAGUAUGGCAUGUAUAGCAUUAUAAUCAUUUUGUAUAUAUGGUCUUAUGAUAUGGUUAUUGAGUGGUAUGGAAAUGCUUGGUAAUGAUUAGCCAUUGGAAUGGCUAAUCAUGAUCAUAUUUGGUGUUAUGUAUGUCAAAUUGCUAGCUAAUCCAUGGAAACCAUGAAAUAGGUAAAAUUUACCAUAAAAUAGAUUCAGACAGCAGUAGAGAUGAGAAUUCGAAAAAUCACUAAAAAUAGUAGAAAUGGAAUUAAAUAAUGAAUAAGUUAUGGAAUCGAAGCUUGAUGAGUCUAUUUUCAUAUGGAAGAAGAGAAACAGGUAUAUGAUCUAUAUUUUAUGAGAUGUUUAAAUUUUUGUGAAACAGGGCCAGAGCGAUUUCUGGAUCCCCUGUUCUGAAUUUGGAAAUUUACCAUAAAUUUUAAAAAGAUAAUUAGAAGUCAUGCUUUAUAUGUACAGAUUCCUUAUUGAGUCUAGUUUUAUUAGAAACAAACAGCAUAGUCAUUUAAGCUCUGUACAGGGAGAUAUCUGAUUCGUAAUACACAGAGGUCAGAGUAGUCGAACCCUGAAACAGGGGAGACUUUAACUAAUAAACUGUACUAAUUGGCCCAACCAAAAAUUCUAGAAAAAAAUUAGUAGAUAGAUAUAUGAGUCUAGUUUCAGGAAAAAUUUACGGAAUUCGAUUUCGAGUUUCGGAACUCGAGAUAUGAAUUUUUAAGCAACUAUGACGCAGUUGGACAGCUUGUCCGAAUUUGUUUAAGUGCUCAAAUAAGUUUAGUAAUGCCUCGUGCUCGACUCCGGCGACGGUCUCGGAUAAGGGGACGUUACACUUUAUCUUUUUUUUUAUUUAUUUUUUCCUUUUUCUUUUUUGUUGGGGUUUAUUUGGAAACUAUUUGUAAACGGUGAAAGUGGAAAAGCAGUCAGAUGAUACAUCAUCAGAUGAUUGUACAAGGAAGGCGGUAGAUUAUCGAAAAGAAAGGGUGGAAAAGAAUAUAUAGAAAUAAAGGAAAGGAAUUCUUUUGAUUGGACCAGGCAUCACUUUUUGUAUUCGGUGUGGAUAAAAGAUCUUCCUAUGUUAUACUAUUCAAUUCUCGACGGUGAAUCGAUUUGAUAGCCUAGAUAUUGUUAUUCAUGAUAUUGAUCCGAUUCGAUGUCAUUGAAAUGUAAGUCAUUGCAUUGAAUUUACAAGCGACAAAUUUAUCAUCUCUAUGGGAUUAAAUCCCGAGUUAUUGCGAAGUAAAAAAAACAAUGAAAUUAUGGAAGUAAAUAUUCUCGCAUUUAUUGCUACAGCGCUGUUCAUUG